CAGCUGUGUCUGAGUUACAUGAGCCAAACGAUCACAGAUUCAGUGGGUAUGUAUGUGUGAUAUUUAUUCAUUUUGUAUGUGUUCUAAAAUAGUUCAAGUAAAAUGAAAAUAGAAUAUUAAAUGACAGUGGGUGUCCAGUAUGACCACAAAAGAACAGGAUACCAUCCUCUCCAGUAAUCAUGGGUAUUUCAUGUUUUUCUACUAAUUUAUCUAGGUACUCAAUCUGUAUCACUUGAUAUUGCUUACCAUUAGCAAAAUUUUAUGUUAGCUAAAAGAAUAUGGUGGAUUAUUCAGAAGAAGCAAUCUAUGUAGAUUUUAAUUCUUUUUGUAUAUUAUGAUGUUAAUUCUAGUCUAGAAAUAGUCCAAAGUUGGAGAAAAGGGUGCAGUUCAGUAUUACCAUUCUCUGAGUGUGUGUGUGUGUGUGUGUGUGUGUCUGUGUGUGUAGUUUGAGAAGGCUCACACCAGGAGAUUCUCAUAGAGUUCUUAUACUACCACCAUCAUCCAAUUAUUUGUUCUUGUUCAAGUGUAAAGCUGUGCCCUGGAAACUGAAUAUAGUUGCUUAUCUUUGCAGAUAAACAGAGGAAAACAACAGAAGCCUUUGUGUUAUUUGGAGAUGCACAGGCAUGGACCAGUUUCAGAACUGGGCAUAUCCUACAACUACCAGCUCUGCAAAUGUUUGAGGAAAAGAAGAGAUUACAAUGUUUCUUGAGGUAAGGAAUUAAAUCACAGUUGAAAAUUAUUUUUCAAACUAAAUACUAAUAUUUCAAAUUUCUAUUAAAAGAUUUGGGGAUGGUGUUGAGUUGAGAGUGUAUUGCAGGAUUAUGAAUGAUAAAUAACUGGCUUGGACCAGAUAGCAGUAGAAAGGAUGAGAAGCGGUCAUAUUCUGAACAGAAUAUGAAUGUAGAGCCAAAAAGAUUUGUUGUGAGAGCAUAAUGUGGAAUAGAGGGGGAAAAAAAGAAUCAAGGAUAACUCUCAGUUUUUGGUCUAAGGGACUUAAAGAGUGGAGUUGCCAUUAACUGAGUUAGGAAAGCCCUAGUGCAGGAACAGACUUAGGGAUAUUGAUAUGGAGUUUAGUUUUCAUGAUGCUAAGUUUGAAAAGAGUUUCACUUUUUAAUUUGAACAAGAUUGGCCUAUUCCAUUUAUCCACAUAACAAUAAAUCUUCAAACUUAGUUAUUUAAAAUAACUAUUUAAUAAUAUUUUAUGAUUUUGAGAGUCAGGAACUCAAGUAAGGCUUGGCUGUGGCAUUGAUGAAUGUCACUUGUUGGCAUUCAGCUUGCAGAGGGACUGGUUUUGAGUCUCCAUAAAAGUUUCUCUCACAUGUUUGGCAUUUCGGUGGGGAUAUGUGGAAAUCUAGGCUGAGCUGGAACUGUCAGUCAUAGCACAGCAAACUCAGGGCAGCUGGAGUUCUUACACAGAAGCUCAGAGCUAUGAGAGAGUAUUACAGUGAGCAGGUGAAACCUGCAUUAUCUUUCCUGACCUACCUUUGGAAGUCACAUAACAUCAUUCUGCAGUAAUCUAUUGGUCAAAUGAGACACAAGCCAAGUCAAGGUGAGAGGACAUACAUCUCACUACUUGAUGGGAGAACUGUCAAAGAUUUUGCAGUAUGUUUUGAAGCUACCACAAAUUCAUUAGAGCAUCUUUAGCAGAGGAUCAGCUCAAUAUGACUUAAGUUUAAAAGUAUAACUUUGAGUACUCUGUAUAAAAAAGACUAUAAUGGGGAGAAGGCAAAAGCAGAGAGGCCAAUUAGAAGGCUAUUGCAGUGAUGCCUGUGAAAGAUGAUGGCUUUGACCAGAAUGGUAGUAGUGCAAGUGAUAAGAAGUUUCUUGUUUUGGAUACAGUUUAAAGAUAUAACUGACAAAAAUUAGACAGCAUAGAUGUGAGAAAAAGAGAAGAGCCAAGUUUUGGCCUAAGCAAUUGAAUGCAUUUACUUUGAUGUGGAAUAUUGCAGGACUAAUGAGUUUCAGAAUGGGAGAGUGGAAAUCAGUAGAGCAGUUAGUUAUUUGUCAUGUAAGGUUGAGAUACCUAUUAGAUAUCAAAGUGGUAACUGUAUAUAAGAGCCUGGAGUUGAAUGGACUGCUCAUGGGUACUUAUAUAAAUUUUCAAAAUAUAGAUGACAUUUAAAAAUACAGGACUGUAUGAAAUCAUCAAGGAAUUCAGUCUAAAUAAAGGCAGCAAGAGGAUACAUGAUGAUUGACUUCCAGAGAACUCCAAUAUUUAGAGUUUUAAAAGAGGAAGAGAAUCAAGUAAAUGAUACUGAGAAGGAGCAGCCACUAAGAUAAGAAAAAAUCAAGGAGAAUUAUGUGUCCUGGAACCAAAGUGAAAAAAGUGGAUCUGUGAUCAACUGUGUCAAAUAUUACUAAUGGAUCUAAUAAAGACUUAGAAUUGGCCAAAGCCUUUGGCAAUUUGGAGGUUGCUGUUGACUUUGAAAAGAAUAGCUUUAGUGUGUUGAUGGGGAGAAAAAUCUGUUUUUAAGGAAUUCAAGCAUGAAUUAGAGGGAAAAGGUAACAUGAAUAUAUAACUAUCCUGAGGAAUUUUCUAUGAAGGGAAGGAAAAAAUGAGAGAUAGAUGAGAAUGUGUGGAGUCAGGAAAGGAUUUUGAAACAUGUAGGUAUAGUACUUUUUCGUGAUAAAAGUAAGAAAGAAUGAAUUUGCACUGAAUCAAUCCAUGUAAUUGUUAUAAUUUUUUUUUAACAUUUUAGAUAAUAUCUGAAAGGUGUAUUUGAAUUUAAAUACAUAUUAUUAAGGUGACAGUGCAUUUAGGGGAAGCAAUCUACAUGGGUCUGUGGUCUUAAAUAUUCUAAAAUUUAACAAAAAUAAACUCAUAUUAUUAGACAAAAAUGAAUACUUAGUGAAGAAGAGAUUUCCCGCCAAAAGAUGUUUUCUUUGGAUAAUUUACUUACUGGAAGUAACUAACCUUAGAAAAGAGGGGUUAAGGAAAAUGACUAUCUUGUCAAUGGUCUUUUCACAGUAUCUCUAAUGUUCUCUUCAUUGCAGUUCUCACUUUCAUCACCUAAUUCUAGCACUCUUUAUCCCUUGACUGAAUUAUUACAGGAUAGUAUUUUCCAGUUUAUCCCUAUACCAACUAACCUAAUACUCGGCUGCAAAUGUAUAUUGUCUAGCAAAAUUCUAACUUGGAUGUUUCAAUCCCACCACAAUGUAACCUAAGUGAGCUUUUAGGUUUAUCUCCAACUACUCUUCUACCCCCCCACAGAGUAUACUUUUUUAAAAUAAAUUUUAUUUUCUUAAGUUCAUAUAUUUUGAGAGAGAGAGAGAAUCCCAAGCAAGCUUCACACUGUCAGUGCAGAGCUCAACACAGGGCUCAAACCCGUGAAACAUGAGAUCAUGACCUGAGCCAAAAUCAAGAGUUGUAUGCUUAACUGAUUGAGCCACCCAGGCACCCCACACAAUAUACUUUUAUACUUUAGCUAAAAGUGACUGGUCGUUCCCAAAGUUAGCCUUAAAUUUCCCUGAUUUCAUGCCUUUCCCCAUGACCACUACCUAAAUGAGCCAAAACUGUAUUUAUGAGUAGCAGUGUAGGGAAGUGAGAGUGAAGUGAGGGGGAGGGGUGGGCAAUCCAUGUAGCCUGUUUUUUUUUUUUUUUUUUUAAUACUAGAUCUGCCACUUUUAACUAUGACCAUGGAGAAGUUCAUUGUUUAAAUCACUGUGAUUCUUUGUUUUCUCAAUAUAAAUUAAUUUGUUAGCAUUAUUGUGAGGAUGUAAGUGUUAUGUAUAAAGAACCUCACAAGUAUCCUCACAAAUAUCUGGCAAACUGAACUUGUUCAAAAGUGGUAGCUGUUAUUAUUAUUACAGACUUGAUUUAAAUGAAGCCUUCCCCCAUGAAAUCUUCCCAAAUUACUUUGCUGUAUUUCCAUAGUACUUUGAUGACAUCAUAAUAUUAAUAUUUCACAAUCUCUCUUGAGCUGUAGUUACUUGUGCAUGCAUUUUUUUCUCAUGCCAGGAAAUGUAGAGUAGUACUGUUCAUUAAGAACAGUGUCUCUGCAAUCAGAAAGAACUGAAGGAAAAUACUAGCUCCUUUACUUACUAGCUGUGAGACUUUAGAUGAGAAAUCUCUGUGCCUGAGUUUCUUAAUCUAUAAAAUACAGAUAAAAACAGUAGCCAAACUCAUGUGGGUUUUGGUAAUAAAUGUAAAUGCUAGGUACAGCAUACAAAACAUAAUAAAGUCUUAAUAAAUGUAAAAUGUACUUGGUUUUAAACUCUUAAAGGAUGGAAAGUAAGUUUUGUCACCUUUGUUUUUCCACCACUAUGUUUAUUACAAUGUGCUGCACAUUCUAGGUAUUCAAAUACUUGUUGAAUUACAGUGAUUUGUAUUAAGUCAAUGGUAAAUAUACCAAGAUUAUUCAUCUUUUGACUUUGGGGUAAAAAGGAGAGUGGUUAAAUUAGGGCUUGAAACAGGAGCCUGAUCUAUGUAUACUGCAUCAAGGAAGUUCUUUGUGCCUCAUAAUGUGGGUAUGGCACAGUAUCUUAUACUUAGUAAAUGUGAGACAGAUAUUUAUUGGGUGAAUUAAAUGACUGUUAUUUAGUUGUAAACAAAAGAAAUUUAUUUUUCAAUAAAAUAAGUUUAGAACCAACAAGCAUCAAGGAAAGGAAAAUAUAAAACAAUCUAAAGUAAAACUUCAUAGAACCUUUAUGAUUCUGUGAAUCAGAUAACAUACCUCUACAUUUAUCAUUUAACCUGAGAUUAUAACAUGAAGCUUAACUUUUAAAAGUGUGUGUUUACACCUCUUAUACAGUAGACUUGUCACUAUAAUAGCUGCUAUGUGAACAUGCGGUAACACAUAGGCAUAGCAGAUAGACUUUUCUUAGGUAUGGGAAGCAGAGAGUGGUGGAAAGACACAGGGGCCUAUAAAUUGCAUAGUUUCCUUAAGGUAUCCACAAGAGGAAUUAUAAAAGGAAAAGCAUCACAAAUAUGUGCUUGUGUAAGUGAAUGUAGUCUGUGUUUUUGCGAGAGUAUAUGAAUUAAUAGGGUUCUAUCUCUUUGUAGGUCUAAGUAAAGAACAAGUAAUAUGGACAAUGAAACACAAGUAUUUUCAAGCCAACUCUGACACAUCUUGCAAACUACUGCAAGGUUCAAUUUCCCAAGGUACAAUUAUGGUCACAAUACUACCAUUCAUUUAUUCAUUCACUUGUGCCUUCAAAAAUGUGUCUUGAAAGAAGAAUGUGUCUUGAAUAUCUGCCAUAUGCAAGGUUACCUCAGGGCUGGCGAUAGAAUAAUUAUAAGACUCAAAGGGCUCAUUGUCUGGGGAUACUGACAAGUAAACUGACUAUGGGAUUUCAGAUAUAACAUUCAGGAGAACAUCGGGUUGCAGAUUGAUAAUGUAAAAUCCUAUAGAUACUUGGGAUAGUUGUAAAGGAGUAAGUGAGUCUCCUUAGGAAGAAUAUGAAAAAAUAACAACAUGUAAGAGAUGAGCAGGGAAAAUAUUUGGAGUAGACUAAGAAAGAACAGCCAGAGAAGUAGGAAAGAAAACUAAGACAUAGUAGUGAGGAAAGAGUUUCAAGAGAAAGUUGCAUUUUUUUCAAAGGCAACAAAAAUAAAAAAAAAAUUCAGGAAACGUUAAUGGUUCUCUAAUUCCUAUUAGUAUAUAUAAACUUACCAGAGUUACACUCAGAAAAAUUUCAUGAAAUUCUCCCAUCUACUUUUCCCACAAGCAUUUUCCUGUUUCUAUCCUUCACUUCUACUCUUGAAGGAUUUGAAAUACUCAUUGCACUAUGAACAUGCUGAAAACUUGCCUUCCUCUGUGAUUUAGCUGAUGUUGUACCUCUAAGUAGAAUGACCUCCCCCAUUAGAUAAGGCACAUCUGUCCACUUUCUAGCAGUACUUAUAGGCCCACGUCUUCUGUGAAAACUCUCUUGUUAAUCUUUCCCAUUUGUAAACUCCCAUAGUACUUUUAUUAAUAUCUUCCUUGACACUUACCAUAUUCCAUACUGGAUUAUAGAUAUAGGUAUACUGUAUAUACUUUCCUUAUUCUUUCUAUGAUUUUUCAUGCAAGAGUCUGUGCCAUAUUCAUAUUCAAAACCUCACCAUAGCACCAUGUGUAUAUAGAUGUUCAAUAAAUAUAUGCUGAAUGCUGAAUAAGUAGAUGCUUGAGUACCUGUAGAACCAACAUGAUGAUUGACACAUAGUUCAUUCUCAAUAUUUGUUGUAUAAAAAAUUGACAAAACAAUUUCCUAUUAUUUAGCCUUCAAAUUCCCUUUCUGAUUUUCUUUCAAGCCCAAACAUCUAUUAUCUUUGUGGGAAAUAACUCUGUGACAAAAUUUCAGGCCAGUGUGUUGGAUACCUUGACUUAUAUUUCUGUAUUAACCACAGUAAAAAUUCAAUAUUAGUUAAAUAAUUAACCUUAAUUAUGUGAUAACUCUGACAUGGGGGAUGACUAUUCCAUUAUAAUGAAAAUGCUUCUUGCAAAAAUUAUCAAAAAUAGAAUAUGGUGCCUGAUGAAUCAGUGGUUUGACAGUAUUCAAUGUCUUUGUGUAAUUCUUGGUUCCCAGACUCAAAGACAAUUUGUCAGGAAGGGUUACAGGUUAUUCUUGGUUCAUAAAAGAAUUCUAUAAAUUAUUUUCUGUUCAUUUCAGCUAAAUUAUGUUUAUUUAUUUCUACAAGAUAGAAUAGAACUUAAUAUUCUAGGUUUCUGAAAACUCCUAACACUAAUCUUUCGAUUUAUUGUUAUUAAAACAAAUUUAUUUAAAGAAACAAUAGGGGAAGACAUAUAUCACUAUAGAAAAAAAUUGGAAGUUGUUUCAGAAUCUUAUUCUAUUAUGAAAUAAAAGUGGAAUUUGAGGUUGAAGUUUAUUCAACAUUUAUUUUCAGGGGAAUCCUUUCAAUUUUUUUAGAAAAAAUAUUUGAAAGACCAAUGCUAUAAUACCAUUAUGAAAACCAGACUUCUUAGGAAGAUAGUCUUUUGUGCACUUCAAAAUGAUUUUGGUAGAUGAACAUAAAAUUUUCAUGGGUGGGGAUGGAUGUAUUGAUCAUUUAGAUUACAAACAGCUUAGAAAUAUCUCAAAUUCCUUUUUAAAAAUGUACUGAAAAGACAUUAUGAAAGGUGGAGUAAAUCAUGGUUUUUCACAACUCUCCCAAAUAUUUGUUUGCCUAAAACAGGUACAGAAAUCUGAAAGUAGACAUAUGCAUUGACAUUUUCUUGACAGAUUCAUAACUCUAUGGUUUCCAAAACUUUAAUGUUCAAUAACAUUUCAUUAGUAUACUCCAGUGUAUUUAUUACUAUGCAUUAUUAAUACAGAUAUGUGCCUAGGAGAUGUACAAUUUGUAAUUAUUUUUCCUUUCAAAACAUAAUAGCUUCACACUGGGCUUGUUGCAGCUACGAUAUUUCAUCUCUGAAUUCUCCUUCAGACUCUCUGGGGUUGUGACAGAAAUUUGUAUUUGAAUAGAAAAGCUGUCAAGAAGGUGCUGUGGUACUAUCCAUCACAUUUUUAAUCCUGACCAUACUUAGAUGCUACUGAGGUUGGCUGUCCAAGACACUAAACAAAGAUUGAAAUUAUGCCUUCUGUUCUUACGCAUCAAAGUUGCACCAUUAUACCAAAUUCAAUAGGCUUGUAUUACACUCUAUUAAUUUCCUAUUAGUUCUCAGCUAUGCAAAAUGAAGCCAUGGUGUCACUAUGGUUUAGACAUGCAACCUUGAUUCCAGCAUCAAAAAAAUGGAACCUGUCACUUCUAAUAAUUUUACAGGAGAUUCUACAAAUGUAAAUCCUUUUUCAUCUUGUCAUCCUUUCAUGUCUUUAAUGAGUUUGCUCACUAACAGUGUAGAAUCUUAAUUUAACUUUCAGAAAUAUUAACAGCUAUUAUAAUUGAGCAUUUCUAGGAGUAUACUAAUUAAUGUGUAAUAAAGAGUAAUUUAUAAUACCUGAAACAUUUAUCUUAAAAAAUUCCGUCAAUAAUUAACUAUAUAUCAGAAAGAAAACAAAGACAAUAGUGAACUCAAGAUUCCUAGCCAAAUUGCUUAUUUUGAGAGAAAGCAUCAUCUAGCUUAAUCAGAUGAUCUACAAAUUAAACUCAACCAUUCGUAAAAGCCAGAGAACACUGUGUACUUGAAAAGCAAGUUAACCAGGGAUUAGCAUGUGAAAAUUAUUCACGGAAAACAGUUAACUCUUGGGAACAGGUGCUAUAGUCAGUCUAACAAUUACUAUACAUAAAAUAUUAGUAUACUCUCUCAUAGACUUUUAUGCUUUAUUUAGAUUCAGUGACUUAUUGCCACUAUUACUGACCUUUAAAUCUAAUUAAAGUCCCUUAAAAUCUAGAUCUACACCAUUUUUAUCUCCCCUGACAGCCUUUAAUUUGAAUGUCUGUAAAUGUCCACUAAAAUUCAUACUGUACCAGUAGCAAAAAAUAGCCUUUGCUGUAGGAGGGUCUCGGAUCUAAUACUUUGCGUUGAAGAAAACAAAGACUCAAUUUUGAGCUAUAAACUCCAUUAUUAAAUUUUCUAAAGAUUAUAUAGAUUGGGUUUCAUAGUAGAGUUACACUGAUUUUUCACUUUAUUGUUCCCAUUUCAUAGCAGUUGAAUUAUUCUAUAAACAAUAAUGUAACAUCAAUUUUAAUACAGAAUCAGUGAAACUGGUCUGGUAUUCCAGAAUACUACAUUCAAGGAGUCUGAAGCCUUAAGUAUUUAGUUGGGGAAGUAACAUUAUGCAAGUCAAGUCUGCCAAGCCACAAUUGCUCAAGUAUUCCAAAUCUUGGCAUCGAGAUUUUACUGUGAAUCUUAACUACUUUGUGCUUUAUCGUGACACAAGAAGUUUUUUUUUUUCUAUAUACAUUGGACACAGAAUACUUUAUUCAUUGCAAUCUUUUCUGUCCAUUACCAUUUUAGGAGAGGUAAACGGCUGAAAGUUUGCCAUUAUCUCAGUGUCAACUUCCAGGGUUAGCUGAAUUUCAGCAUAAGUCAUGAUAUGUAGUAGUUACAAAGUACACCACUUACUACACAAUGUGUAUUUUACUAUUUGUCAAUGCAAAACAUCUUUGAUAUUGAGCCCCUCUAACUUAGCAUUUAUAUUAAGGUUUUUACAAAUAGAAAGAACAUUAAUAGUGAAUAGCUAUCAAACAUUUUUGUUUUCAGGCACUAAGUGAAGUCCUUUGCAUAUAUUACCUCAUUUAAUUUUUUAUUAACCCUAUUAUCAUAUGACAUAUGGCAUAUAAGGAAACAGAUGCACAAAACAGUCAACAACUUGUCCAACUUGUCCAUACAAAUCAUAUGAUUUGUAAGUGUUAGAAACAAGAUUCAAACCCUUGUCUUAACCACAGUUACUACUGCCUCUCAGUGUUAAUCAAUAGAGUAAAAUAACACCUUUUACUUUUUAAAGAUUUUCCUUUUUAAAGAUUAUGUACAACAUUUGAAGCAUUUAAAAGUCAUAUGCAUCAUCUUUUGGUUUUUUUAAAUGUACUUUUUCUCUAUAACAGUAUCAUAUUUAAAAUCACUGCUUAGUCAAGUAGUUCCUAAGGGAGAAAGGUAGAAAACAAUUGUUAGAAAUGGUGUGAAUGGGAGGUAGAUGAUUAGGGGCAGUAGGGACAAAAGACAGAUGUUUUUCUGAGCAACUGGAAUUGGGAAUAUUGAUGUUCAUAGGAACUGGAGAGACUUAAUACUAAGAAUAAAACUUCAUAAGAUAUUGCAAGCUAGAUAAAUGGGUUAACAUAUAGCCCCCAAUGAGAUGGGGAAUAUCAUGUACACACUUGUGAAUUUCUGGUCCAUACAGGGCUUUCUUUAUAUAUAGCCAGAUAUGAAAAAAAUGCUAUUUAGAAAACAGAAUGUCUGCUUUGCCUCUGGUUCUAGGGAAAAAUCAACAAUCUCCUCAAUGGUGAAUAUUAUCUUUUUUCUUUUCCAAGGAAAAACUCACAAUAUACUUUAUGGAGCCUUUUUGGUUGAAAAGUUUGAACCCUAAAUGAGCACUAAAUGACCCAACUUUAGAAUGCUACCUAAGAGAGUGAGAGAGAUUUUAAGUUCAUGUAGGUAGCCUGAAAGAAAGGGCAAAAGGACACCCAUGUGGAGAUGAAAGUGAAGGAAACAAGUUUUGGGAGAGAGACAGAAAGAAACCUGAAAAGGUGAUAGCCUAAGGAAAGGAUAUAGGCACCAAGAAACUCUUAAUGCCAGGAAGGCCCAGUAAAAUUUUAGGACAAUGAUAUUUGAUGCUAACUUUUAAGUUGCUUUCCAUUGUGCUUCAAUCCCACUAUAUUGCUCCAAACCUUUAGUGUAAACCUGAUAUAUGUAAAAGACUUCUUAAGUGUUAUUUGGUAUAGAAUGAAGGAAUAAGGAUAAAAGAAGGGUAAGAGGUACCCAGGAAAAGCAUCAGCUUUCCACUUCUAAGCUGGCCCAAGCAAAUUUUCAGACAUAGGGAGUAGUAUUAUGACUAAGCUGCUAUAUUUGAAUAUUAAAGAGAAUACAGAGGCUGGAGGGACACACUCAUUAAUCACACAUGAAUUAGGUGCAUGUGUAGAAAAUGUUUACAAUGCUAUUAGUAAAAGUUUCUAUGUGCUUUGGGAAACAUUUUUCAGCUGAUAUUGAGUAGCAUCAGAAAUCAUCAAAUAGUUGAAUGUAUGAGGAACUUCUGUUCAUAAAGUGCAACAUUAAGUAUGGAAACAUUGGUAUUAAAGCAAAUUAUUGAUGUAUUGAAUAGAAUAUAACAUAUUUGGAGAUAGGCUUAGUGUAGGUUCUGUGGAAAUAAAUGAAUCACAGAAACAUCCGCAGUUGGAUGCCUGAAAUCACAUUUUCUGUGAAAUGGGAUGUGUUAUUCAAUAAUAUUUUAGAACUUGGAGGUUAAAUGUUAUGCAACUGCUAAUAUGUCCCUAUUGUGAAGAAAAGAACAACACAAAUGAUGGCGCAUGAUGUUAUGUAGGUUGUUAUGUCCAUAACAUCUGAGUCAUCUCAUUUUAGAAAUCUGAUAAAGGAGACCAUAACUUAAUAAUGUGGAGUAUAUAUUCCUAUAAAGUCAAGAAAAUGGAUCCUGGUAAUGGCGUGUGCUCAAAUUAUGGGUCCCUAAGUAAGAAUAUUAGAACAGGCUUCUAUUCCAUUUCCUAACUGCAAAAUAAUCACUGCUUCAGGGAAAAGUUUUGUUUGGCUCUCAUCAUUUCUGCAACCUCCGCCCAGGUGAGUAAGAAGGAAUUAGGCUGUGACCCCGAGAAUGCAGACUAUCCCUAUGUUUGGAAAUGUGUGUGUGUGUGUAUGUGUGUGUGUAUGUGUGUGUGUGUGUGUGUGUGUGUGUGUGUAGUUUUCCACAGUAAUAUAUCAUCCUAGCUUAAUAAGUUAUUUAGAAUAUAAAUUUUAGAAUGCAAGAAAUAUGUAAAUAGGAGUUAUAAUUCCUUGGUUGCAUGUUGGAGUCUACUUUUACAUAAUGUGUAGGGCUAACUCUUCUAACGUGUCACGCUUUCAGAAUGGUUUGUUCCAAUGUCCUCAUGUAUUGAACCCUGAGUUAGCUGCUCCUCUGGAUUGUAUUAUUACAGGUCGUUCCCCCAGUCCAUUAAUGCCUGAGAUAAGUUCCAUCAUCUUUCUUUACUUAUGUGUUGUCUUGGCUUGCUGCAUCAAGUCCUUCCUCUAGUAUCUGACGGCCUUGAACUGCUGACUUUUCCCUUCACUUAAAUCAAUACCAAUUUAAAUCUCACUUUUCAGUUUCUUUCCUUUACCAACUUCUUAUGUAUACACUCUCCCUAUUGUCCUGGUGUCUCUCAACAAACUCUGAGUCCUUCAGGAAAUUAAUAUUUUUAUCCCAUUAUGUGAAGAGUACAAAGUGUCACAAACUAUGGAUUGUUCAAGACAAGGUGCAUCAAAAAGGCCACCCGUUUUUCAUGUUCUCUUUCCUCCUUCCUCUCCCAUCUCUAAAAUAUAUGAUAAAAAAGUUAAAUAUUGUAACAAAAUAAAUCUAUAAUUAUUAAAUGUCUAGAACCAUAGACUGACAGAAUAAUAGAUCUAGAAGGGGACCUUAGAUAUCUUUUACUUUAAUCUUCUCAUUUUAUAUUUGAAUAAUAUAAACCUUAGAGAGUCAUAGUGCAUUGACAAUGGCAAAUCCAGGUCUCAGACCCCAUUCUCCUGACACCCAGUUUAAUGUUUUUUAUUAUACCACAUUCUCCUGAUACCCAGUUUAAUGUUUUUUAUUAUACCACUGUGCUAUAAUAGACUUGAAAAAUAAAUCUCAAAAAGAUGGCCUGAAGUUGACUACAACAAAGUAGUAAAAAAAUGAGGAUAAACAUAUGUGUGCAUGCUUUUGGAUUAUAAGGACAGCAAUUAUUUGAAUGACUGCAAUAAUUAUAUUCAGUGCAUAAUCUAAUAAAAUAUUUUUAAUUGGUAGUCUGGAAAUAGAAAUGAGAAUCACAUUUCUGAUACAGUCAUUUGGUAUUACUCCCAAUAGGUAAAGAAAAUAUAACAGAAAAGAACACUAUUAAUUGGAAAUGAUUAUAGUGGUGCUUGGGUGGCUCAGUCAGUUGAGCGUCUGACUUAGGCUCAGGUCAUGGUCUCAUGUCCAUGAGUUCGAGCCCCGCGUUGGGCUUUAUGCUGACAGCUCAGAGCCUGGAGCCUGCUUUGGAUUCUGUGUCUCCCUCUCUCUCUGCUCCUCCCCUGCUUAUGCUCUGUGUCUCAAAAAAUAAAAUAAAACGUUAAAAAAUUUUUAAAAAAAGAAAUAAUUAUAAAAUAUUACAGGUUUUUAAAUAUUACACUAUAAUUCACAACCAACCUAUAACAGCUUUGGUGCAUAAUAAACCACCUCAAAAAUUAAUGACUUAAUGAAAUAUCCAUCUACUUAGUUUACAAGUUCGUAGAUCUACAAUUUGGCCUGGGAUUAUGUGAGUAGGUCUCAUAAGUGCCAAUUUCAGGUAUCUGUAGUCAGCAGGUAUUUAGGUAGGAGCUCUGCUUCUGGGGAUUGGCUGGCUCUUCACUGGAUUUACUAGGGCAACUGGAGCAUGUUUAUCAUCAACCAACAGAGUGGCCUGGGUUUGUUCACAUGGCAGCUAGACAACGUAACAGGAAAGACAGCAGAACAUUCAAAACCUCUUGAAAUCUAGGUUCAAACCUAGCUCAGUGUUGUUCCUGCAAUUCUAUUAUUUUAAACCCAUCUCAAAGCCAGCCCAGAUUCAUGUGUUGGGAAUAAUACACUCUGAAAUUUAAUGAGAGAAUCUGCAAAAUAACAUUGCAAGGGCCAUGCAUAUAAAGGGGGUAAUAAAUGCAAUCACUUAAAACUCUAUGAUAACAUCCAAACAAUUAACGACAAGUAACAAGCUCAUUCUCUGUCUCUGUCUCUGUCUCUCUCUGUCUCUGUCUCUCUCUCUAUUUAUAUAUAUUUAAUACAGUUAUUUAUAUAUCAAUAUAAUUAUAAAUUUAAAUCCAAUUUUUGUUGCCAUUGUUCACUAUUUUGUGUUUAUACUUAUAUUACACAUAAAUUACAUGUUUCUUAGCUAGUCACUGUUUUUUAAUAAAUGUUUAAAAAUUUGAGAACACAUUUAGAUUUGUGAAGAUACCACAGGGAGUUUGCAUAUACCUCACAGCAUUUUCUCUUAUAAUCAUCAUGUAAUAUUGGAAUGGUAUAUUUGAUACAAUUAACGAACCAAAUUGAUACCUUAUUAUUAACUGCAGUCCAUAUAUUAUUCAUAUCUAUUUAGUUUUAUCUGUUUUUUUGCAUUUUAUUGAACUAUCUAUGUAGUUGCUGAAGCUACUACAUGCAGACAAGAGAAAAGGAGCUUCCUUCCUUGGUCUCUUCCUCCUUAGUAUUGAUUUCCUCCUUGGCCAGGAGCCACUAUUCCUUAGUCUUAGACCUUAGGCUGCUCACCCAGGAACUUCUUCUGGGUCUUGUUCCCUCUAUUCCUGGCUUACUGAAAGUUUUCAUCAUGAAUGAGUGUUGAAUUCUAUCAAAUGCAUUUUCUACAUCAAUUAAUAUAAUCAAAUGAUUUUUUCUUUAACCUUUUGAUGUGGUAGAUACUGAUUGAUUUUCAAAUGCCAAACCAGCUUUUGAAUCCCUGGAAUAAAUCCCACUUGGUUAUGGGGUAUAAUUAUUUUCAGACAUUGUUGGCUAAACUGAAUCCAAUUUGUUAAUGUUGAGAAUUUUUAUAUCUGUGUUCAUGACCUAUGUCUGCACAUUUUAUUUCUUAUAAUGUCUUUGUCUGACUUUCAUAUUAGAGUAAUACUGGCUUUAAAGGAUGAUUUGGAAAGGAUUCCCUCUGCUUCUAUUUUUUUGGAAGAGACUGUGGAACAUUGCUAUCAUUUCUUCUUUUAAGUGUUUGAUAGAAUUAGUCAGUGAAACAGUCUGAACCUGAUGCUUUAUUUUUUUGGAAGAUCAUCAAUUAAUGACUCAAUUUCUUUACUGGGUAAAGGACUAUUCAGGUUAUCAAUCACUUCUUGUGUGAGUUCUGGUAGUUUGUGUCUUUCAAGGAUUCGGCUUAUUUCAUCUAAGUUACCAAGUUUCUGGCCAUAAAGUUAUUCAUAGUUUUCCAUUAUUAUACUUUUCAUGUUUGUGGGAUUUCUAGUAAUGACCAGUCUUUCAUUUCCCAUAUGAGUAAUUUGUGUCUUUAUUUUUUUCUUAGCCUGGACAGAGGCUUAUCAAUUAUAUGAAUCUUCUCCAAGAACCAGCUUGUGUUUUCAAUUAUUUUCUCUAUUAUUUCCCUGUUUUCAAUUUCAUUGAUUUCUGCUCUAAUUUUUAUUAUUUAUUUUCUUCUAGCUUAUUUUAUACAUAAUUUGCUCUUUUUUCAUUUCUUAGGAAGGUACUUAGGUUACUGAGUUUAAAUCUUUAUUUAUUUUUUGAAUGUAUGCACUUAAUUCUAUAAAUUUCCCUCUAAGCUUUGCUUUUGCCACAUCCCACAUUUUGAGAAGUUGUGAUCUCAUUACAUAUGUCAUGAUUUAUUUUUGUUUAAACUUGUUAAAGUGGGUUACCUGACCCAACAUAUGGUAUACCUUAAAUGUUCCAUGUGAGAUUGAAAAACUGUGUAUUCAGUAUUGAAUGGAGUAUUCAAUAAAUGUUAUUUAGAUAAGUUGAUUGAUAGUGUUGUUCAGGUCUAUAUCCUUACUGAAUUUCUACCAGUUUGAUAUAGCAAUUAAUUUUGGAAGGAAUUAAAAUCUUUUUUUUUUUUUAAUUUUUUUUUCAACGUUUUUAUUUAUUUUUGGGACAGAGAGAGACAGAGCAUGAACGGGGGAGGGGCAGAAAGGGAGACACAGAAUCGAAACAGGCUCCAGGCUCCGAGCCAUCCGCCCAGAGCCUGACGCGAAGCUCGAACUCACGGACCGCGAGAUCGUGACCUGGCUGAAGUCGGACGCUUAACCGACUGCGCCACCCAGGCGCCCCAGGAAUUAAAAUCUUUAAUUAUAAUAGUGGAUUUAUCUAUUUCUCCUUUUAGUUCUAUUGUUUUUUAAAAAUCUUUUAAUGUUUAUUUAUUUAUUUAUUUAUUUAUUUAUUUAGAGAGCAUGAGUGGAGGAGGGACAGAGUGAAAGACACAGAAUCCAAAGCAGGCUCCAGGCCCUGAGCUGUCCGCACANUAAAAAUCUUUUAAUGUUUAUUUAUUUAUUUAUUUAUUUAUUUAUUUAGAGAGCAUGAGUGGAGGAGGGACAGAGUGAAAGACACAGAAUCCAAAGCAGGCUCCAGGCUCUGAGCUGUCAGCACAGAGCCUGACGCGGGGCUUGAACUCAGGGACCAUGAGCUGAAUUUGGACACUUAACCAACUAAGCCACCCAGGCGCCCUGAGUUCUAUUGGUUUUUGUCUCAUCCAUUUUGAUACUCUACUGUUAGGUGCUUACACAUUUAGGAUUGUUGUAUCUUCUUGGAGAAUUCUAUCUCUUCAACAUUUAUGUGUGUCCCUUUUUCAUCUCUGAUAAUCCUCCUUCCUCUGAAGUCUGCUUUGUUUAAAGUUAUUAUAGAUACUCUUUCUUUUGAUUAGUUUUAAAAAGGUAUAUUUUCACAAACCUCUUUACUUUUAACCUGCCUGUGUCUUUUAUUUAAAGUAGAUUUCUUGUAGACAACAUAUAUUUGAAUGUUGUUUUUUGAGAUAGCUUAUAACCUCUGCCUUUUUAUUAUUGUAUACAGACCAUUAGCUCUUACAAUUAUUAUUAACAUAAUUGGAUUAAUAUCUACCAUCUCAUAUCUGUUUUCUAGCCAUUGCAUUUUUUUAAUGUUUAUUUAUUUUUUAAGAGAGAGACUGACAGAGUGUGAGCAGGGGAAGGGCAGAGAGAGAGAGGAAGGCACAGAAUCUGAAGCAGGCUCCAGGCUCUGAGCUGUCAGCACAGAGCCCGAUGGUGGGCUCAAACCCACGAACCGUGAGAUCAUGACCUGAGCCAAAGUCGCACGCUCAACCGACUGAGCCACACAGGCGCCCCUAUCCAUUGCAUUUAUUUCCCCCUUUUUUUUUUUUUUUACCCUUUCUUUUUCGCUGCCUUCUCUGGUUGAAUUGAACAUUUUUUUAUGGCUUGAUUUGAAUUAUUUUGCAUAUCAAUUAUACUUCUCUGCAUAUCAAUUAUACUUCUCAUUAAAAUUAACUUAGUGGUUUCCAUAAAAUUUACAAUAUACUUUUUUAUUUUUUAAUGUUUAUUUUAUUUUUGAGAGAGAGAAUAACAGCAUGAGUGGGGGAGGGGCAGAGAGAGAGACACACACAGAAUUUAAAGCAGGCUCCAGACUCUGAGCUGUCAGCACAGCCUGAUGCGGAGCUAGAAUGCACGAACCCGUGAGAUCAUGACCUGGAUCUAAGUUUGCACUUAACUGACUGAGCCACCCAGGCGCCCCUACAAUAUACGUUUACAAUUAAUCCCAGUCUACCCUCAAGUAACACUAUACCACUCCAUGAGAAUUGCAGCUACCUUAUAAGAGUGUACCCAAUUCCUCCUUCUCAUCUCUUAUUACAUCGCUGUCAUUCAUUUCAGUCUACGCUCUGUAAUCACUCAACAUAUUGUUACUAUUAUUACAUUAAAUAGUUAUCUUUCAAAUCAAUUAAUAAGAAAAAGGAAAAAUACUUAUGUUCUUACCCAUAUUCCAAUAUUUUUCAUUUAUGUAAUUUCCAGUUUUUGAUAUAUGUCUUUUUCCUUUUUCUUGAAGAACUUUUAACAUUUAAGAGAAGUUCUGCUGGUGAUGAAUUCCUUCAGUUUUUGUUUUUCUGAAAGAAACCUAUUUCUCCUUUAGUUUUGAAGGAUAAUUUCACUGAAUGUAGAUUAUAGGAUGGUGUUUUUGUUUUAUUUUUCAUUUCAACACUUCAAAUAUUUCAAUCCACUCUCUUUGCUUGCCUGCUUUCUGAGAAGUCUCCCUUAAUUCUUUUCUUUGUUCCUCCAUAGGUAAGGUGAUCCUCCCAUGCUGGCCUUUCUUUCAGAAAUUUCUCUUUCCCUGGUUUCCUGCAGUUUAAAUAUGAUAUGUUAAGGUGUAGAAUUUUUAACUGAUGCCUCUGAGAAGAUGAACUACCUGGGUCUAUGGGUUGGUGUCUGUCAUUAAAUUAGGAAAUUUUCAAUCUUUCAUAUUUCUAAUAUUUCUUGUAUUCCCUUCCUCUCCUUCUUCUCCUCCUAUCUUCUACUUCUACUAUUCCCAUUAUCUAUGUGCUGCACCUUUUAUAAUUGUCCCACAGCUCUUAGAUAUUGUUCUUUUUUUUUGGCCUUUUAGUUUUGGCAGUUUCUCUGUAUGUAUUUUCAAGCUUGCUGACUUCUUUCCCUCCUCAGCCAUGCUAAGUCCACCAAAAGCAUUCAUCAUUUCGGUUACAGUAUUACAUUACUUUGAGGCGCCUGGGCAUCCAACUUUGGCUCAGGUCAUGAUCUCCCGGUUUGUGAGUUCAAGCCCCAUAUCAGGCUCUGUGCUGACAGCUCGGAGCCUGGAGCCCGCUUCGGAUUCUGUGUCUCCCCGUCUCCCCAUCUCUCAGCCCCUCCCCUGCUCAUGCUCUGUCUCUCUCUGUCUCUCAAUAAUAAAUAAAUGUUAAAAAAAAUGAAAAAAAAACAAAAAAACAAUGUUACAUUACUUUUAGUUUCUCUCCUAAAUUUCUUCCUAUUUACAUUGGCUAUCUGUUCUUGCAUGUUCUCUGCAUUCCUUUAGAGCCCCUAACAUAUUAAUUAUAGUUAUUUCAAAUUCCCUUUCUGAUAAUUCCAACAUCUGUAUCAUAUCUGAGGCAGGAUUCAAUAAUUGCUUUUUUGCUUAAGACUGUGUUUGCUCUCACCUUUUGGCAUGUCUUGUAAUUUUUGUUAAAAAGCAGACAUGUAUCAGAAAUAAGAACUGAGGUAAAUAAGUCUUUAGAAUGAGGUUUUGUGUUAAUCUCUGUAGGAAUUGUGCUGUGUUUCAUGUUUGCUGUGGCUGAUGGCACCAGAGUCUUCAAAUUUCUCUUGUGUCUUUGUUUUAUCUCCCUUCUUGACUUUGGAACACCCUGGGUAUUCCCCCUGAAAGGCAGUCUGCAUAUUAUUGUCAGCUGUAAUUUGCUAUUAUUAUAUUGGAGCCCUGUUGGUAUGGUGAUAAGGUGUGGUGAAGAAAUGACCUAUAAUUUUAUGAACAAGUCUCCAUCUUUUUGUGUCUCUGUGUUUCUGUGCUAUGACCUUCACAAGGAUUUCUCCAUUGGUAGAAAUUGUCCCACUGACUUCACCCCCACCCUCUGCUUAGAUGAUACAGGAAGGCUGGAGAAGACUGGAGCUGGAUAUUUGUCCUUCUGUGAGAAGGAUAAAACUUGGUAAAAUCUUUUCCCUUGAGGGUAGGCCUUUUUACGGAAAACACUUUGGAUAUAUUUUACAAUGAUUAUUCUUUUACUCCUUCUGCCAGAGCCGUAAGUCCAUAUUCUUGGAUCUUCACCAUGAGAGCUUGGUGAGGUUCCCAGAAGUAAAAUCCAUGAGACUGUGGGGUCCCUUCUAAGACUGUGACCCCAGAAGUUUCUCACUCUCUUCAUAGUUCACAUUCAGCUUCCAACAAUUCAUCAAAUUGUUGGAAGUGCUUUUUACCAGUUAUGGCUCCUACAGCUUAUGCCGCCUAUAGCACAUCUCGGCUGUGACUCUCUGGAUAUACCUGUAUCUGUACAUCUCAGUGCAAUGGUUUGCCAACUUCAGGUUUCUGAUGGGUUCAAGAAAAGUAAUUGGUUUUCAGGUUUUUUUUUUCUUAUUGAAAGGCAAUUUCCAUGCUUUUUACAUGUCAAGGUUUAAGCUGGAAGUCUCUCAAUAUAAUUUUAUAUACCAUUGUCUCAGAGUUUUGAAGAUUAAAUAAUGUAAUUCAUAUAAAGCACUAAUAUUAGUGCCUGACUCAUUCUAAGAGUUAGUUCAUGUUAUUACUACUAGUAUGAUUAAGUUCUAGAUAGUUUGUUAUUUGGGAUACAAAGAUGAUUAAAAUACAAACCAAUUCACAUAGUCUGAUAAUGAUUAUUUGCAUGAUUAGAUAGGUUGUUCAUUUCUGUCAUUUUAUAGUUGAGGAAAAUGAACAUCAGAAAAUUUAAAUGACUUGCCAAAGUAACCUAGUUAGAUAGCACUCUAGUAAAUAAACAUUUGCCACAUAUAUAUAGAUUCUGAAGUUAUAAAAAUUAUAACAAGUAUUUAGGUUAAAAAUAUUUUAGCUAAUAUAAUAAGUUUCCUUUGAAAAUUCAUAAGAUUUGUUUACUGCCUCAGUACAUUUUUUAAACUCAUUAUUUAAACUAUAAUAAUGUGAAAAUGUUAUCUUUGAUAAUUUAUUGUGCUAUAAUUGAUAAUGGGUCCAGGACAUGAAAAGGAAGGUUUUAAGGAAAUGGAAAUGAGUUUAGAGUAUCCAAAAUCAUUUUUACAUAACUCCUAGACUAUGGAGUAACAUGUUAAAUGUAUUUGAAAAUGGUGUAAACCUCAGGAAUUAAUAAAAAUGUAAAGCUUAUGAAAGAAGUUUAUUCAGCACUUUUUGUGUGCCAGUUUUGUAUUGAAUAAGCCCUGAGCAUAAUUCCGUGGUCCAGUCUAUUAUGCAACUGCAAAUGAAAUUUACCAUGAAUUCCUGAGGAUUAUGUGAUAGUUGGGCUGAAUUGUCAUUACCCACCUAUUUCUCAAAAGCUCCUCAUUACCUACAGGAAAAAAUACAGACUUAUCAAUAUGACCCUUCAUGAACAGGUGGCUAUUAACCUAUCCAUCCUCAUCCAUAUACCCAUCCUGUCCUGAGAACUUGACCAUUCACCUACAGGAGUGUUUCAAAGAAGUUUGUAUAGUGGCAUCCCAUCCUCAAGAUCCUAUCACUGGCUUAUGCCAUGAUAAUCAGCAUAUCUUUCCUCGUAAUUUUCAAUAUUGAGUCAGAUAUUAUAAUUAAAGAGUUAAUGUCUGAUAAUCACACCUAUCAUAAUAAUAGCUGAGUUUAUUGAGUAUUUCAUAUUUGUUCAUGACUAUACAGAGCACUUUGUUUUAAUUUUCCCAUUAAACCUUCUAAACAACUCUAUAAUAUAGGUACCAUGUAUUCUUGUCUUACAGAUGAGGAGACUGAGUCGUGAGAUUAAGUAGCUAUUCAUGUUCACUAUGCUAUUUUCUCAUCACAAGGUCUUCCGCCUUUGAACAGUGGUCACAUCUUAAAACAGAGGAAUGCAUUUUUAAUGAUGGAACUUUAGGUGUGGAUGGAAUUGAAGAUCAUAAGAUGACCUAUUGCUGCUUUUCAAUUCAUAUAUAAAAGUUGAUCUGCAAAUCCACAUAUGAUUACAGUCAGAUUUUUUCAUUCAACAAUAUAGGUAUACCCUGAUAUACUGCUUGAUUUUUGCUUCUUACUAUCUUACCCUGAAUAAGCCCAGACAUAACUAUGCUGAUACCUAAUACCCAGUAUCAGACAUUUGGCAACACAGCCAAUUAAAUGACAUUUACUGUGCUAACUGAGCUCUCUCUAAAAGGAUUAUUGAAAGCAAAGUUUUUUGAAUUAAUACUGUGUGUUUGAUUUAUUUAAAUUAUAUUCAUAAUUAGUGUUUAUAUUUUAUGGUAUGACAUUUCAUUUUCAGGAUUAGAAUACAAUUUAUAAUAUUGUAGAGAUGGACAAAAAAGAUUUAACUGAAGACCGCUAAGUUUGAAAAACUGUAGCCUAGCAACCAAUUAUGUCUUACAUUAUAGAAUAUCUGUAUAGAUCUUCCUUGACUUAUUAUGGGGUUAUAUCCCAAUAAACCCAUCAUAAGUUGAAUAUAUUAUAAGUAAAAAAUGCAUUUAAUACACCUAACCUAUUGAACAUCAUAGCUUAAUCGAGCCUAUCUUAUACAUACUCAGAACACUUACAUUAGCCUACAGUCAGGCAAAAUAAUCUAACACAACAUCUAUUUCAUAAUAAAGUGUUGAAUAUGUCAUGUAAUUUAUUUAGUGCUGCACUGAAAGUGAAAAAUACAAUAGAUAUAUAGGUUCAGAACGCUUGUAAGUGCAUCAGUUGUUUACCCUUGUGAUCGUGUGGCUGGCUGGGAACUGCAGCGUCCUGCUGCUGUCCAGCAUCACAAGAGAGUACUGUACCACAUUGUGCUGUCCAGGAAAGGAUCAAAAUUUGUAGUGUACACUGAAUGUAUAUUGCUUUUGCGCCAUCGUAAAUUCUAAAACCUGUAAACCAAACUAUCCUAAAAUCAUAAGUGCCCAUACUUGUAUCAAAAAAACAGGAACCACACUAAACAUUUUAGCAAUUAUAAUUUAAUAUAGGGAAUUGAUUACACAGGUAUUGGAGGACUGAAUAGACAAAAAGGUGACAUUGAGCUAACACAGAUGUAAACUAGAGGAAACAGCUAUCAUUGCUAAGAAACAAGGAAAGUGGAAAAUCUAGGUUCUUAGAAUCUAGAAGCUUGGAGGAAGGGCUCUCAGAACUGGUUUUGGAGCUUUGAUGAGUGGCUGCUGCUUUACUAGAGAUGUCAUCUGUGGGGAGAAAUGAUGAGAAGAUCUGGGAGUGACAAAAUGUAGUUAGAUACUGGAGGAGAUAACUUCCAUCAUGGUGAGGGACUAUUUUCAGAGCAUGAAACAGUACGGAAAACAAGAAUGUCCAAGUCCUUUUUAUGCUUCUCAUGUUUUCCAGUCUUUCUCUAGACCUGCUGUCCUCCAACCCCCUUCUUUGAUUCUAACAAUGAAUCAGCUAGCAAAGGAUAAAUAUAGAUUGCAGAGUCACAGCUCUUACAUCAUAAAACUGAGUAUAAGAGGGUGAGUGUAGGGUUGAGAGGCAAAAUGCUAGUUGGCACAAUAUUUAUGAGUAAUCAUUAAUUAGGCAUCUUCAAAAAUUAUAAUUUUGGACAAUUCUGUUUUCAUUUAUUUAAGAACAUAUUUCUGAAAUUGUCAAAGGAUCAUCAAGUGGCAAGAGAAAAAAAGGGGGCAAAGAGACCAGAUCUCAAAACUAUAGUAACUAGUAUUAGCUUAAUGAUAGACAAAAUGAACAAUGGAACAGAAUAGAGCAUUCUGAAACAUUCAUAUAUAUAUAUAUAUAUAUAUAUAUAUAUACUAUACAGGCAUACAUAUAUUCUGUGACAAAGGUGACAGUUUUGUUCAGUGGGAAAAAAGAUGGUCUUUUCAGUAAAUGGUCUAUUCUAUUAGAAAUCCAUAAAAAUCAGUAUAUCUGUAUCCAACUUCAUAAUGUAUUCAAAUAUCAAAUCCAGAUGGUUUGCAAAUCUAAAAUGAAAAUAAGAUAUUAAAAUAGAAAAGAUUAAAAAUACCAAGUUCUGAUAAUGAUGUAGAACAACUGAAACCCUGAUAAACUGUAUAUAGUGGGAGUUAAAAUUAAUAAAAUCAAUUUGGAAACCUGUUUGACAUGAUCUACUAAGUAGAAGAUAUAUAAGUUUCAUUUUCUAACAAUUCCACCAUGAGUAUAUAUACCCAGAAGAGAUGUGUGUAUUUGUUAACCAAAAAUCAUGUAUUGGAAUGUUUACAGCAGCAUUAUUCAUAAAAGUCCCAAGCUGGAAAAUUACCCAAAUGCUCAUAAAUAGUAAAUUGGAUAAAUUGUGGUAUUUUUACACAGUUGAGUACUCUACAGCAAUGAAAACGAGCAAUGAACAGCUAAACUGAAUAAUGUAGAUGGAUGUCUCAAAUUCAUAAUGUCGUUGAAGAAAAGAAUCCAGACAAAAAAGAAUUCACUCUGUGUGAUUCAUUUUAUAUGAAGUACCAAAAUAGACAAAACUAACCUAUUAAAAGUCAAAUUAGUGGUUACUCUUAGAGAUGGGUGACUAGAAGAAGAUAUGAUGGUCACUUUGUGGUGCUAGCAAUUUUCUAUUUCUUAAUCUUGGUGCUACUUACAUAAUUGUGCUCAUUUUAUGAAAAUUAAGCAAAAGGUAUACUUAUUACAUGUACUUUUAUGUGUAUAUUUAUAUGUGUGUGUACAUAUGUGUAAUGUAUAUACUAUACUUCAGUAAAACAGGCAAGAAUAAGAAUAGAGCGGACAUUAUCCCCAUUUAUACAUUUUCUUUUUUUUAAAUUUUUUUUUCAACGUUUAUUUAUUUUUGGGACAGAGAGAGACAGAGCAUGAACAGGGGAGGGGCAGAGAGAGAGGGAGACACAGAAUCGGAAACAGGCUCCAGGCUCUGAGCCAUCAGCCCAGAGCCUGACGCAGGGCUCGAACUCACGAACCGCGAGAUCGUGACCUGGCUGAAGUCGGACGCUUAACCGACUGCGCCACCCAGGCGCCCCUAUACAUUUUCAACAAAUAGGUUUUAUAACACAUUACAAAAUCUCAGAUAUUUUUAUGAAGAGUGUAUAUAUAUAUAUAUAUAUAUAUUUACAAAUACAUUUCCUGACCAUAAGACUGCAGCUAUUUCUUCAAUAGUGUAUGCUUUGUUAAUCAUUGUCAUUUUCAUUGUGGAAACUACAGCUACAUAAUAACAGUGAUUGAAGUAGUUGCUCAAGCAUAGGUCUUUGUCUUUUUCAUCCACUAAUAUCUACAUCUAAUGAAUGCUACUCUGCCAUUAACCGAUGCAGACAUGCUAUGUAACAUAACAUCAUAGUUCUGGAAGUCAGCCCUUUAAGCGCGUAUAAUUUUUGUCAAAUAGAAGAGAACUGACCUGGAUGGUUACACAAUAAGAAAAGUAUUAUACAAAGAAAUAUGUAUGAAUUUGUUUUCUAAUGUUUCAAUGACAAGGAAGCUAGACCUAUAAAUGCUGUUUAUUUACUACCAAUGACGCUUGGCUAUAUUUACUUCAGUUUAUUUUGCACAGUCUUCUUUAUGAUAUAAUUACAUGCACCACUUUCAGCUGAGAUGAGCUUUAACAGAAAGCAUAGGUAUGUAAAAUAUUUGGAUACUUAUAUUUUCAGAUGUUUAUUCAAAAAUCUGAAAUUACACUUAAACACAAGGGUUGAUAAUAUUGUAGUAGUAUUGCACAGCAAGAGAACAUAACACAUGUCCCAUGUAUAACCAUUGUUAUUGCUAAUUCAAAAUGAUUACCAUAUGUGUCAUGGAUAUAGGCAUUUUUUAAUUCAAAAAUAAGAUUUUAUUUCCACCAAUAUCGGAUGGAUAUGCAGAGAAACCACUGCUAGUAUACAGUACUUUAAACUUUUAUCUCUCUGUAUGUAAGUGUUUCUAUAUACCUUUUUCUUUAUUAAAAAGCAUGGCUAAGUUUAUAUUAAAGUCAAGAAGGUUAGAAAUGGCAAAGUAGUUCUAUUACACAGAGACAGUCAACCUCUGGAGCAGGUGUUUGCCCUGAGGGUGCGUGAAGAUUGCCAUUUUCCUAGAGACUGGGUUUUAAUGGAAUAAGGUUAAGAGGAGAUAGGUGGGAGGUCAGAUGAAAAACCCCUGUAUAAUGCCUAAAACCACAAAUGGUGACACUAUCAGUGGAUAAAUUUGAAAAAAAAAAAAAGAUCUCCCCACAGAGAAAAACAGUUGGUGUCAGAGCCAGUUUUGAUCUUUGUUCUUUCAACUAAUGAAGUUGACAGUUUCCCUAAAUAUUUGAAACAAAAGAAUCAAGACAGUAAGCAAUUGGGUAAGGCAUACUGCAGAAAACCAUGAUGUUAGGAUUAUGUAGACUCUGAUGUAUUGCUUUUUAAAAAAUUAGGAUGUUUGCAUACAUUAGAGUAAUAGUAAUUAAAGCAAUGUAUGUGAGAUAGUGGCCUGCAUAACUCUUAUACAUGGUAGAAAAUGUAUUUUAGGGUAGUGAAUAUGCACCAAAUUAAACAGGAUCCUAUAGCCAAUGUAACACCGCUUGUCAUGUGACAUACUAAGAGACAUCUUAAUGUUAUUUGCUGUGGAUUUUUGUGUCAAGGAUGAUAAUUGCCAUUGUGUGACUGACAUUUCUCAAAUUCUGACUGAAACUAAAUCUAGAUAUAUAAAGCAAUAUAUAGUAAAUCAUUAAAAUUUCAAUGUACCAUAUGAUUUUUGAGCAUAUAUAUAUUUUUUUUUUAAUUUUUUUUUUCCAACGUUUAUUUAUUUUUGGGACAGAGAGAGACAGAGCAUGAACGGGGGAGGGGCAGAGAGAGAGGGAGGCACAGAAUCGGAAACAGGCGNNNNNNNNNNNNNNNCCCGGGGCCGGACGCGGGGCUCGAACUCCCUGACCGCGAGAUCGUGACCUGGCUGAAGUCGGACGCUUAACCGACUGCGCCACCCAGGCGCCCCGAGCAUAUAUAUUUUUAAAGAGUAAUUUAUCAAAAGAUAGACACAGAUUUUACAUAUAUAUUUACAUCUCACAUCUGUUGCAGCUUGAGUGAGACAUAAAGAAUGUGUAAAUGAUUCUUAAAAAGUAUUGAGGUAGACAAGUUGAUCUGUUAUGGAACCAGGCUGGAAUGCUGGUGGAAAAAACCAAGCAGCACUCAGAGAUCUUGGUGGAUCGGAAAUUUAUUUAACACCGGCGGGCUCAGAGGAGACCAUUUCUCCCNNNNNNNNNNNNNNNNNNNNNNNNNNGGGGGAAGGGUAAUUUAUAGUUGUCAGCUUCCAUAUCUGUGGCGGGUUUUCGUGUGUGCGGCCAACAGGGCAAGAAGAACCCGAAAGAGGGGUCUCUAGCUUAGAGACCAGCGCUUGUUUUAGUCCUGUCAGCCAUCUUUGGUGCAGUACUUUAUUCGUUUCUCCAACAUUCCCCCCUUUGAUGCCUUAAAAAAAAAAAGUUCAGUUUUACAGGUUGGUACUCUUGGAAGGAUAAGAUACGUGCUGUGGAUUGGUGAGCAACAGUGUUUUCAAUAAAACGUACCAGAGUAUUUAGUAUCCAGGGGCCGAUGGUCACAAGUAAAGUUAUGGGAAGGAGGGGCCCUGCCAGGGCAGGGAGCCAGGAUGCCCAGUCUGUGAGAUCCCAUCCUCUCCAUUGACUGAUAUUUUCCUGUUGUCUACAUUGAAUUCUUUCCUUGAGUUCCUUAACCUUAGUCCUGACUAUUCCUGAUUGGUUUACAAAAUAGAAACAUUCCUCCCCCAGAAAGAUACAAGUCCCUCCUUUUUCUUAAGUGAGGAGGUUGAGGGCUAGCCUAUUUUGGAGAGACACUGCUGCCAGGGAGUUUAUUUGGCUUUAUUAGAUUACCAGGGUGUCUGCCAUCCAUUCCAUGUCCUAGUUUGUUGGUGCAGUCUCUAUUAGCCCAACAGCAAGAAGAUCAGGACUACGACACCAGUGAGGUGCAAGGGCUGGCAGAGUUGCAUCCGAACCCCUGGGCUCGGUCCACAUGUUGAUUCCUCAAGCUUCUGCCGAGAGCAGGCCAGCCAGCUUCUGGGCUGUGGCUGGAGCAGGGCUGGAGAUCUCAGGGGCCAGUGUCUUUUUGAGGGUCAGUUUAAGCGGGUUGACUGGAUCUGGAUCACUUGGCCAGGUUGAGGGUUCCUCUGAGCUGGCCUUCUUAACUCUGGAAUGAUGGACCCAUGGGAUGAUACCUGAAACUGAAUCCUCUAUUUAGUUGUAUAUCUGUAAAGUCCACCUCCAAGUCUUCGAAAGGGGCGGGUUUCUGGUAACUGUCCGAUCAGGUUUAGGGAAGAUAUGGUUUGCAUAUUUAGAGAUCCAUCCAGUUUUCCAGUUGCUUAAAUAAUCAUAUGCCCAUGGGGUCUUAUUAUUAUCCCCAAAGAAUAAUAAGCACAGAAGACUGUCUAUACGUGAAAUACUGUGACAGUUUUUCUGAAGUUUACCUCAAGUUGUCUAGUUUAGGCAAACAACAAACAUUUAAAGACAAUCAUAACUAGCAUUUAACAUCCAUAACUGUGCAUUGUUGAAACAUAGUUGUUCUCUCUAAAACCCACCCUUUCCAGAGAUAGCAAAAUUGAGACCAAUGCAUUUGUAGAACAAGUCCAGUCUUAACAAACCUGGCCUAAUUAUUUAUAUAAGCUCAGCAAGAACAGCGAUUGAUCAUGCGGCUCUUUUAAAGUUUGCUUUGCUGGAACCUUUUAUAAGGAAUCUCCAGAUUGAACUUUUAGUCACCUCUCCAGGCCAGAAGCCAAGCCAAAUCCUUGCCAUCAGACAGGCCUGCAAUACCUGUAGAAUUGGGUGAAUUCCUCUUCAUGAGGUCCCCAAGAUAUCCUGAGGUUCCUGCACCUGCCAGGAAGNNNNNNNNNNNNNNNNNNNNNNNNNNNNNNNNNNNNNNNNNNNNNNNNNNNNNNNNNNNNNNNNNNNNNNNNNNNNNNNNNNNNNNNNNNNNNNNNNNNNNNNNNNNNNNNNNNNNNNNNNNNNNNNNNNNNNNNNNNNNNNNNNNNNNNNNNNNNNNNNNNNNNNNNNNNNNNNNNNNNNNNNNNNNNNNNNNNNNNNNNNNNNNNNNNNNNNNNNNNNNNNNNNNNNNNNNNNNNNNNNNNNNNNNNNNNNNNNNNNNNNNNNNNNNNNNNNNNNNNNNNNNNNNNNNNNNNNNNNNNNNNNNNNNNNNNNNNNNNNNNNNNNNNNNNNNNNNNNNNNNNNNNNNNNNNNNNNNNNNNNNNNNNNNNNNNNNNNNNNNNNNNNNNNNNNNNNNNNNNNNNNNNNNNNNNNNNNNNNNNNNNNNNNNNNNNNNNNNNNNNNNNNNNNNNNNNNNNNNNNNNNNNNNNNNNNNNNNNNNNNNNNNNNNNNNNNNNNNNNNNNNNNNNNNNNNNNNNNNNNNNNNNNNNNNNNNNNNNNNNNNNNNNNNNNNNNNNNNNNNNNNNNNNNNNNNNNNNNNNNNNNNNNNNNNNNNNNNNNNNNNNNNNNNNNNNNNNNNNNNNNNNNNNNNNNNNNNNNNNNNNNNNNNNNNNNNNNNNNNNNNNNNNNNNNNNNNNNNNNNNNNNNNNNNNNNNNNNNNNNNNNNNNNNNNNNNNNNNNNNNNNNNNNNNNNNNNNNNNNNNNNNNNNNNNNNNNNNNNNNNNNNNNNNNNNNNNNNNNNNNNNNNNNNNNNNNNNNNNNNNNNNNNNNNNNNNNNNNNNNNNNNNNNNNNNNNNNNNNNNNNNNNNNNNNNNNNNNNNNNNNNNNNNNNNNNNNNNNNNNNNNNNNNNNNNNNNNNNNNNNNNNNNNNNNNNNNNNNNNNNNNNNNNNNNNNNNNNNNNNNNNNNNNNNNNNNNNNNNNNNNNNNNNNNNNNNNNNNNNNNNNNNNNNNAUUUGAGCAGAGAGAAAAGCAGAAUUUCAACCUUAUACCAGUGUACUUUUAAAAUUCCAUUCAUCUCAACCUUAGUCCAUCCUGAACACACAUAAUAUCCCUUUUCAGAGAUUUCCUUUCAUGAACCUUUUACAACCUUCCUUUGCCUUCAAACUUUGUCCCAAAGCCAUUUCUCUCCAAAUAACCAGUCUCAUUUAGGACAAAAUUACUUUCUUCUACCCUCAACAAAAAUGUAUUUCCAUUCCUUAUAUCUUUCUUACAUACCUCCUACUUUCCUACAUACAGGGUUGCUUUCCUUAUUUCCAUCAGUCAAGUACACUUAACAGAAUUUAACUCUUAGGAAAACUUAGCCUCCAACUGAGGACUUAGUAACCAACUGAGAGGUGUUUAUACCAGAAUUUUUUAGAUGGUAAAUUCAUGAACCAAUUAAGUACAAAGUAUGUUUUCCAAUAGGCCCAAAUAGCUUUAAUUUCUCUUCAAUAAGAAGUUAAAAACACAAACCUAUGUUCAGUAAUCAAAGCUUUAGCAAUUCAUUCUAUUUGGAAAAGACCUAGAUAUCCAAGGGGGUGCACUUGACUCCUUGACCUUGAGGAUGGGAGGAGGAGGCCAAUGGUGCCUGAGGCACUGAGGAGGGUAUAGGAACCAAUUAUGUAGACCACACCCAAGUUGGUGCAGAAACAGCAGGGGGACGGGAAGGCAGAAGAGGCAAGGUGCCAGUAGAAGGCAGAGAAGGAAAACCUAAUUCAAAACCUUAACUCACACAGGGGAGCAGAUGCCAUGUUUUUUUCCACCAAAAUGGAAAUAUGGAGUCCACAUCAGGCCAGAGAAGACUGGGAAUUUCCCAGAAACAAAUGGAGUUUCAGCAACUACUUGGGAACAUUCCUUAAAGUCCCCAUCCCGAGGUAGACUAACCACAGUUGGCUCCAAUUAUAGCUAUUAACCUGGGAAAUGAGGGAGAAUCCCUCACAUCUAUUAGGCAGAGGACCAGGGAGAGAGAGUCAGUGUCCCCCUUCAGUCUGAUUCUAUCUUGGCCAGACCAAUAAGGUCUCCUUCUCGAGGUUCCUCCUGAUAUCGGCUGGGUUUCUGGGACUUUCCCUGGUUGGAACAUUUAUUCUUUUAAUGUCCUUUCUCCUUGCAGUGGGCUCACUGACCCCUUGCUAAGGAGGUCCUGGGCCUCCCCGCUUUUGGCGGCUAGACCUUCCCUGUCCCUUUGUUGUGGCUGUCUUAUGCCUCUGGAGCAAACAGGGUAUAAGCCUCGCAUAGCCUCUCAUAAUAAUCCCCAGGGGAAUCCCCUUGCUGCUGGGCAUAUUCAUGGGCUUCUCAGCCCCUGCUCUGAUCUCCUGGAGGAGAGCCUCUUGGUACCAGUGGAUGUGGACUGGCAUCUGGAGAGCACCUGCACCUGGCGGAGGGCACAAUCUGGCUGCUGGUCCUUGUGGGGGAGGGUUCUCCAGGUCCAGGAGGGGAGGAGAGAUAAGCAGCGUCCAGGGCCGAAGGAAAGAGAGACAGGGGAGGAGUUUCAAGCUCAGGGGCAGCAGGGAGGGAGCCUAGUGAGUCAUAAGUUGGUGGAAAGAUGGGAUCUUCCUCUGGCUCUCCUGCAAACACUAGGGGAGCGGUGAGUUGCUUCUUUGGUUCCCUGGGUGAGUUUCCAGAUAAGGCGGCUAAAACCUUUGCCUGACUCUGCUUGCUAUGGAUGAAUCACACCCAGGGUGGAGGAUUUCAGGCAAUUUCAAGCCAGGAGCCUAUGUAUGGAAAUUUAUCAGGGUGACCUGGGUCUCUGGAGACAACAUGCCAGAUGCAGCAGACCAUUGGGACAUGCAAGGUUCCCUCAGAGGGCCCUCCUACACCAGAAGUGGGCCAUUCUAACUCACAUAGGAUCCUUAAGGUGCCGGGGGUUAUCUUAAUUCCAUAGUCUCCCCAAAACCCCUUCUUUGCUCUGUCCCAACCCCAUAAUGUUCUUGUGAGGCAGUCACAAAGACAGACAGAGGGAUAGGGGUGCCCCCACUAAUGAGGAGACCAGUCAGAUGCCUGUCUGGCCAUGUCCUGAAGGAACUUAGGUGAUGCUUAGCUGUAGCAGUCUCAGCUUUGUGACUUACGAUUGGAAACUAUUCUGAUGCUGCCAUAGACUGUAUGCCAUUCACCACAGAAUCACAGAUGUGCCCACUCAGACUCCGUGGUCUUUUGGGGACCUUAAGGGUGCCCGCCUGUGGAGCCACAGACUCAAACUCAGCAGGCAAGCUAGACUGAGUCGCACAUUCACACUCACAUACACACCAGAGGUUAUUACAUUACCUCCCACAGAAUUCCUACCUGUGAGACCUCUGAGGUCUCUGGGGAGUGAUCAGGUCCCCCUUCCACUCUUGCCAAUGGGCCUGACUAGAUUGGGCCCCAGCCUUACCAAUUCUGAUGUAGGGUCCAGGUUGUCACCUGCCAAGUCUCCUUGAGUCCGGUGGGAAUGGUGGAGCAGGGCCGGCCUGAGGCGACUGAGUGGGAGACUGCUGAAAUUCAGGCAGGGUGUGCUUUCUCCCUUACGAUUCCUUGUUCUAUCACCACCUCGCCAUUCUCCCAAACCGGUAGCAACAAUGGGCCAGCUCAGUUGGGUUUCCCGGUAAGGGAACCAAAUAUGUUAUGAAACCAGGCUGGAAUGCUGGUGGAAAAAACCAAGCAGCACUCAGAGAUCUUGGUGGAUCAGAGAUUUAUUUAACACCGGCCGGCUCAGAGGAGACCAUUUCUUCAAAGAUCUGAGCGCCGAAUGCAAGAGGGAAGGGUAAUUUAUAGUUGUCAGCUUCCAUAUCUGUGGCGGGUUUUCAUGUGUGCGGCCAACAGGGCAAGAAGAGCCCGGAAGAGGGGUCUCUAAGCUAGAGAGCAGAGCUUGUUUUAGUCCUGUCAGCCAUCUUUGGUGCAGUACUUUAUUCCUUUCUCCAAUAGAUCCACUGUUCUAAUUCCAUCAAUGUAGAGAAUUGCCCUGGUUAUUCCAAAGGUAAUAACAUCAUUUUUUGUUUCUGUAAUUAAAGUUUUUAGUAUGCAAAUGUGUAAAGUAAAAGAUGUGUUGAGAUUGUGGAGAGGACAAUAUCAGUGUGAAGUAAACUUAUUCAGAAUAAUGCUCCUAGACACAAAGUAGGGCAUAAAUCCUCACCAAAAUGACAUUAAUUGUAAUUACCCAUACUUUAGGGAGAUAUUAUCAUUUUAGUUAACAAAGUAAAAUGCCAACAAAGACAAAGAAAAUAGAACUUAUUUAGAAAGGUUUUGGGUACCCCUGGAGAGAAAGUCUCAAAAAUGAAAUGUAGCCAGUCCGGUUUAAAACAAAUUAUGCAAGUCCAUCCAGCAUCUUUUCACUUAAAAGUAGGUAGUAAUAACCUUUGAGGAAAAACUGCAAAAACUACUUGUUUUCUCUCACCAAAAGAAUUUGUGUAUAAGUCUACAUAAUUUAUUAGUCUGGGAGAAACCAUAUGGCUUUAAUAAUUUUGGAUCCAAUCAUAAAUCUGAUAAUUUAAUCACAGGAUGAAAAGCCAAGGAUCCUUUGAAACCAUAUCUGUAAUGCAAGUUACUAUUCUAUGACAUGCAAUUUUUCCCUUCACUGAAGUUGAAACAUAAAUAAAUGUGGAUGGUUAAAAUAGUACAAACUUAAAAUUUUUGCUGGAGAGUUUGGAAAUGGCCCUGAAUCUGUAUUGGGGAUUUUAAACUCUGGACAACAUUUAUCUCCUUUAAACUUAACCUGAGUAUACUACUUUGAGGAAGAAACCAUUUCUAUUGUGCUUAGAUGUGAUGUUAAAAUCAGCAUCAAGGGGCCCGACUUCGGCUUAGGUCAUGAUCUCGUAGUUUGUGAAUUCGAGCCCCGCAUCGGGCUCUGUGCUGACAGCUCAGAGCCUGUAGCCUGCUUCGGAUUCUGUGUCUCCUCCUCUCUCUGCCCCUCCCCCACUCACUCUCUGUCUCUGUCUCUCAAAAAUAAAUAAACGUUAAAAAAUUAAAAAAAAUCAUCAUCAAUAAUUUUUGAGAAAUCCUGGAAAAUGGAGAUAGAAGUCAGACAACCCCAAUCCACUUAUUUCCUAAAAAGGAAAAAGACAAAUGUUGAUAUUUAAAGACUUACUUGUUUGAAACAUAGUCUGGCAAAAAAAAAUAGCUUAAAUAUGAUUUACAAGCAUUAAAAUAUAAAAGAAUAUGAUGAUCACCAGGAACCAGUAAGGAUUCACUAAGAAGUCCUGGAAAACUUAUAUAAUUUAAUUUUUUAUUAUAGAAAAAUUCCAAACGUAAUAAAUGGUGGAGAAAACAAUAAAACUAACUCCAUGAUCUGGAAUGUGUUUUUCCUGUGUGUUAGGGGCAACAGGAGUUACUGUUUCUCUCCCCUGCUGCUUAAACCUUUGGCUUCUUUUGAGAGAAGGGUCUAGACAGAGGUUGGGGGUUUAGGACUGACACUACAUGGCAGGUGAUCACCUCCUGUACACCUGUACUAUAAAGGGGGGCUUUAUAUAUUGUAUCCUGCCCCAAUAAUUCUCAUGAGAACUCGGAAAAAAAAUCCAUAAUGCCUUUGAGUACAAACUCCCUCUGGAUCUGGGGCCCCCUAGCCUUUACAAACUGACAUACCAACCUCCACUUGUUUUUCUAAUUAUUAAAAUUUUAGCUCAUAUCUUCUUACCAGUUUGUGUGAGAGCCAACUCCUUCUCUUAUACUCUGCCACAGGUAAGCCAAUUUACACAUGUCAUCUCUCUUUGGAGAGGUUUAUCCCUUCUUGAAACUUAGACUAUUUUGUUGACUUGAAACUUCAGGUCUCUGAUGGGUCAAGAGAAGUUCAGAUUUUGUAGUUUAUCUGGCUUUUUCUUACUGUUAGUGGAGAGCAACACUCUUUCCAAUUUGCUACAUCUCAAAUGGAAGGAGAAAUUCAAAGUCCACUGCUUAUAUUUAAAAUAUAUUUAAAAAUGUGUAUUUAAAGAUUUAAAACAGUCCACAAUUCAUCAGUGAGUAUUUAAUUGGUAUGACAAUAUAUUUUAGUUAUGUAUGACAAGGUCGUUUUGUGUGAUGCUUAAGGCUUCUUUAAGGGUAGGAUAUCAUCAUGUUCGUAGUCUCUUUUGGAGAAGAUUUUUUCAAUAUAUCAUGCAACAAAGAGCUCAGGUGAUACUGUGAUAUAAUAAGAAAUACAUAUUUUGUUCUUAGUCCUGGGUCCUGGCCAGAGCUACCAAAAAACCUUAUAAUUUCCUAAGUGAUGAGAACAAUAAUUGUAAUAACAGUUUUGUUCUAAUAUUUAGUUUUUCACCCCAGUUCCUGAAAUAGCUCCAGAGCUUCAGAGUGAUAAGGAUGAAAGGUUUAUACUUAGGUAUUUAUAACUAGCCUCUUUCAGCCACAGCUAAGUUUAUGUUAACGAGGUAACUUUUCAAAAGCCCCUAAGGAUAGGUUACUGGUUGCCAGAGGAAUCAACUAUAUAACUAAAGGGUUGAAACUUUUAGUCCUACCCCAUGACCUCCAAAGAGAGGAGAGGGGCUAGAGGUUCAAUUAAUCACUAAUGGCCAAUUAUUUAAUUGUGUCUAUGUAAUGAAGCUUCCAUAAAAACUAACCAAAAAGUUUCAGACCAAUUCCGGGUUGGUGAACACAUCCACAUGUUGGGAGGGUGGCAUGCACAGAGAGGACAUGGGCUCAAUAUGAGCCCCCCCUUUGUGUCAUGAUAAUUCAAUGCAUGAAUACAGCUUGAAGGUGCUCCAGCCAGCCUUACCCAGGGUCCCAGUACCUGUCUACAUUUGGCUUUAAAACUUUAUCUAGGACUGGUCGGCAUAGAACCCAUAGUGGAGAGAGGAGCCACAGGGUCAUAAGACAUAUAGUUGGCCUUGGAGCUGUCCAGAGCAAAGAGAUUUGCCUUCACUCCAAGGCCACAUAAGUGCCAAUUUCAACCAUUUUCCUUAAAAAUAACACUUUUCUGUGAAAUGGUAUGAAAUAGUUUUCCAUUUUAUUAUGACAAUUUUCAAACAUAAAGAAAAGUUUAAUACUGUUAUAUAGCUACCAAAAUAGCUAAAAUUAAAAAGACCAACAAAAACAAAAUGAGUAUGGCUGUGAAGCAACUGGAAAUCUUGUAUAUUGCUGCAAUAAAUAUAAGCUGGUACAACCACUUUGGAAAACUGGCAUUAUUUUACAAAAGUUGAAUCUAUGCAUACCUUGGGAUUACCAAUUCAUUCCUGACUAUAACUCAACAGAAUUUUAUGCACAUGUUCCCCAAGAGACAUAUACAAGACUGUUCUUAUCAAUAUUAUUCGUAGAAACUAAAAAAUGGAAAUAAUCUGUAUGCCCACCAGUAGUAGAAUGAUAUAUUCUUAAGAUAAAAUGUUAUCUAGCAGCAAAAAUGAAUAACCUUCAGCUACAUACAAAAUAUGGACAAAUCUUGCAAAUGUAAUAUUGAGCCAGAGAAACCAGAUAUGAAAACAUACACAUGUUGUGGUUUGCUGUCUAUAAAGCUGAAGACUAGGAAAACCUAAAUUAUAGACAUAUAGUCUCUGAAAGCUAACUCUAGGGAGGAGCAAGAAGGUGGUUACUGAAAGGGGCUUGAUGGCAGCCUCUGAGGUAUAAGCAAGUUCUAAUUGAUGGCCUGGGUCAUAGGUACAUGAGAUAUGAUGAUUCAUUGAUCUGUUCAUUUUGAUGGUUUGCCUUUGUAAAAAAAAUAAUAUGUCAAUAAGAAGAAAGGAGAAAAAAUUUGAAAGGAUCUUACAGUGCAAACCCAUACACUCAUUACUAUAUACUAUAAUAAACAUUUUACUAUUCUUGCUUUUUUACGUAUCCAUACAUUCCUUUAGCCAUCCAUCAGGACUUACUAUUAUUAUUGAUGAUGAUGAAAAAUGGUAUUUUUGACAUGCAGGUCAUGAAACUAAAAUUUGUGAAACAACUGAGCCUGGCCUCCCCACCACAUUUCUUUGCCAAGUCAGGGUCACCCAAAAACCUACAUCUUCCCUGUCACUAUCUUCCCUGGACCCCCUUCCUUGUCCUAGUUUGUGUAGAUGAGCACAAGAAGUGGAGAUUUUCUGAAGUUGGCAAAAACCAAGGAAACAAACUCCUUUUUGAAGUCAGACCCAUCUGAUCACAAAUGUUUUCUGAAUUACACCAUCAACGUACACAAAACUUCGUCCAGUGAAACCAGCCCUGAAACUGCAAAGCUCAUGCCCAGGUUUGCUAACUUCUGGAAGCCCAGACUGACUUGAAACAUGUCCAAAGCCAUCCUAGAAGAAGAAAAGACUACUGUUAAUUAUGAAAUGAAAUUUCUUUUCUUGGUUUUCAAGGAUAGGGAGAGGCUGAAAAGUGUUGAGAAUACCCAACUGUCCUCUAAAGAAACUUUAAUUCUUCUCCAUGGAGCUGCCUGGAAGCAGCUAUGUAAACCUGCUCUGGAAGUUUGGUUCCUACACGAUGGGCCCUCCAGGGGUGAUGCCUCAAGGAGAGGAGGUAGCCUGUGUGCACAUGCAAGGUGGGAGGGUGGGGGAUGACUGCGAUUUUUAACCUUUUUUGUGCCUUGGAGCCCUUGGCUGUCCAGCGAAGAAUUUGACACCUUGUUAGAGUAGUCUUUUUAAGCAUAUAAAAUUAAUUCAUAGGAUUGUAAACAGAACUGAUUAUGCUAAAAUUCAGUUACCAAAAUAUUUCUUCAAAUUUGUGAUAGAGCAAAAGAUGACUUCCUUACUAUAUUAAAUAACAAGAUCUAGCUGUAGGUCUGAUAACUAUCAUAACUUUGAGGUAGUGAAAAAUGUAACAAUAUUCCAAGAUAUCCACAAUGAUGGGAAUGAAAUAUGAAAACAUGUAUGAUUUCUAUUGUUAUAGGUACUGUUAAUACUAUGCUAUAGGUACCGAUGAUACUAUGCAGCAUUGCCUGCAGUCAUAAUUGAAGGAAAUUGUACAUUUUUAGUUAUAAGUUAGUGACCAUAAAGAUGCCAUUUUUUUCACAUCCAAGCUUACAAAUCCCCUGAAUGCUGUCCGUGGACCUGAGGAUGAGAACUUCUGGAAUAUAGGGGCUUUCUUUUUGUCUCUUUAAUUUUAUUCCUGCUCAUAAAAUGCUCCCUUUACCUAGGCAGAUACCCAAAUGAAUUAUAAAUUGAAAGCAGGGACCCAAACAUAUCCUUGUACACAAACAUGAAUAGCAGUAUUAGUCCCAUUAGCUAAAAGGUACAAACAAACCAAAUGUCCACCAACAGAUAAAUGGAUGAACAAAAUAUAGUAUGUAUAUAUAGACAGGCAGACACACACACACACACACACAUGCACACAUACUGGAAUAUUACUGACACUUAGAAAGGAAGGAAAUUUGGGGGCACCUGGAUGACUCAGUUGGUUAAGUGGCCAACUCUUGGUUUUGGCUCAGGUCAUGAUCUCGUGGUUUGUGGGUUUGAGCCUUGCAUCAGGCUCCGUGGUGGCAGUGCAGAGCCUGCUUGGGAUUCUCUCUCUCUCUCUCUCCGUCUCUCUCUCUCUCUCCUUCUCUCUCUUCCCAUCCCCCCUCUCAAGAUAAAUAAAUUUUAAAAAUUUUAAAAAUGAAGAAAGGAAGGAAAUUCUGACACAUGCUCUAGUAUGGAUGAAACUUGAGGACAUUACACUAAGUGAAAUAAGCCAGUCACAAAAAUACAAAUACUAUACGAUUCCAGUUAUAUGAGGUAGAGAAGUAAAAUUCAUAGAGAUGGAAAGUAGCAUUACAAGGGCUCAUUACUAGGUGGUUUCCAAGGCCUAGGGAUAGAAGAAAUGUGAAGUUAUUGUGUAAUGGGGACAGAGUUUUAGUUUGGGAAUAUGAAAAAGUUCUGGAGAGGGAUGGUGGUGAUGGUUACACAAUAGUGUGAAUGUGCUUAAUGCUGCUGAACUAUGCACCUAAAAAUGGUUAAAAUGGUAACCUUUUUGUAUCUUUGACCACAAUAAAAUAUUUUACAAAAGUUUUUAAAAGACAUAGAAGCUCUGUGAUCCUUCCUUACACCUUGCCCUAUGCAUCUUUUCCAUAUGGCUGUUUCUGAGUUGUAGGUUUUAUAAUAAACUGGUAAAUGUAAAUAAGUGUAGCCCUGAGUUCUGUGAGCCAUUCUAGAAAAUUAUCAAAUCUGAGGAGGGGAUUGUGAGAUCUCACUGAUUUAUAGCCAGUCAAUCAGAAGGUUGGGUGGCCCAGCCAUAAAAUUGACAGCUGAAGGUUGGGGGAAGCAGUCUUGUGUAACUGAGCCUUCAAUCUGUCGAAUCUGGGCCUAAUCCAGGAAGUUAGUAUCAGAAUUGAGUUAAAUUUUAGGACACCUGGUUGGUGUCUUCUGAGAAUUGGAAAAUUUCUUGGUGUGGAAAAACCUACACAUUUGAUGUCCGAAGAGGAGAGUAUACAAAGAGUGUUUUUCUAUUAGCUAAUAUCCACAAUAUGUAAAGAACUGAUACAGAUCACUAAUAAAAAUUGGAUAAUUCAAUAGAAAAAUGAGCCAUACCAUGUGUGCACCCAUGUCCCAGACCCUGGUACCACCUUCAUGUGUGCACCACACCCCUCAGGAGAAAAAGAGAGAAGGAGGAUGCCAGCAGCUAUCACCACUGAGGAUCCCAACAGUCUAUACUGGUGCCACAAACACCCACAGCCCUCACUGCAGAGUACCAUUGUAAUCUUUGCCAAUUCUGAUUGCAGCCAACAAAGCUGUCUAGAAUACAUUUCACUGUGCCCCCCUGAAGUGAGAGUUACUGCUGCAAUGUUGCCAGAGCAGGAGAUGCUGCUGCAUGCUAAACCACCCAAAGCCAGAGCAGAAGAAUACACUGGAAUCAGUGCUGCUGUACACUCCUGGAACUAGUGUUUUCAUACAUGCUCAGACCCAACACCAGACCUGGUGCCACUGCAUACCCUACUUAGCCAGGGCACUUGUACUGGUAUCUUUCCUCGCUAAAGCCAGUUUGUAAAGUCUAGAAAAAGUGACUGCUCCUUCAAAUGUAUAGACACCAAUGCAAAGCAAUAAGAACAUGAAAAAUCAAUGAAACAUGGCACCAUGAAAGGGAUACGAUAACCAAACCCCAAAAAGUUAAGAUCUACAAAUUAACUGUCAAAGAAUUUAAAAUAAUUGUUCCUAACAUUAAAAUGAAAAUAUGCUGAAGACCAAUGUAAAAGCAUAUGAACAUGAACUUUAGGGGCACCUGGGUGAGCAUCCCAACUCUUGGUCUCAGCUCAGGUCAUGAUCCCAGGGUAGUGGAAUCGAGCCCCACAUCAGACUCUGUGCUGAGCAUGAAGCCAUCUUGGGAUUCUCUCUCUCUCUCUCUCUCUCUCUCUCCCUUCUUCCCUCCCUCUGUCCCUCUCCCCCCUACUACUGUCUCUCUAAAAUAAAUAAAAUAAAAUAAAUAAAUAAAUAAAUAAAUCAGAGAAAACAUAAACUUUAUUUGUAAUGUUAAAUAUAUAGACAAAUACAAAAAAAGUAAUUACUGGGUGAGCAAUACUUUUACUACAAGAAUAGUGUUGGGUGGGAGUGAAGGUAAGAAUGUAAAGUUUUGUAUGUGACUGAAGUUAAGUUGUUAUCGACUUAAAUUAGACUUAUAAUUUCAAGGUAAUUUAUGCAAGAUCAGGGUAACUAUAAAGAAAAGAAACCUAUAAUAGACACACAAAAGAUAAAGAGAAAAAACCAAAGCAAAUAAGUACACAAAAUCAUCAAAUAACAAAGAAGGCAGCAAGAGAGGAGAGAAAUAACUACAAAACAGAAAACAAUAAAUAGCAACAGUAAGUUCUCACCUAUCAAUAAUUACUUUAAAUAUAAAUGGGUAAACUCUCUAAUCAAAAUGUGUAGAGUAGCUAAAUAUAUUUAAAAAAUCCAGUGAUAUGCUAUCUACAGAAAGCUCAUUUUUAGAUUUAAGGACACAUAGUCUGAAAGCGAAAGGAUGAAAAAAAGAUAUUUCGUGCAAAUUCAUUCCAGAAUAAAGUAAGGUCGGCUAUAUUUAUAUCAGACAAAAUAGACUUUAAGUCAGAAACUGGCCCAAGAGACAAAGAAGGUCAUUACAUAAUGAUAAAAGGAUUAAUGCAACAUGAUGAUAUGACAAUUAUAAAUAUAUAUACAUCCAACAUCAGAACACCUUAAAUAUAUAAAGCAAAUAACAGAUCCAAAAGGAAAAGUGACAGCAAUUCAAUAAUAGUUUGAGACUUCAAUACCCCACUUUCAUUAACAUAUAGAACAUCCAGAUAUAAAAUCAAUAAAGAGCAAACAUGAACAACAUUAUGGACCAAAUGAACUUAACAGACACAUUUAGAAAUUUCCAAUCAAUAGCAGAAGAAUACACAUUCUUCUCAAGUGCACACAGAACAUUCUCUAGAAUAUACUACAUAUUAGGUCACAAACCAGUCUUGACAAAGUUAAGAUGAUCAAAAUAAUUCCAUGUAUCUUUUCCAAUUACAGUGGAAUGAAACUAGAAAUCAAUAACAGUAAGAAAAUGUGAAAAUUCACAGGUACGUCAAAACUAAACAGCACAUCCUUGAACACCCAUUGGAGCAAAGAGGAAAUCAAAAGGGAGUUAAAAAACUAUCUUUAGGGGUGCAUGGGUGGCUCAGUUGGUUAAGUGUCUGACUUCGGCUCAGGUCAUGAUCUCACAAGCCCUGCGUUGGGCUCUGUGCUGACUGCUCAGAGCCUGGAGCCUGCUUCGGAUUCUGUGUCUCCCUCUCUCUUUGGCCCUCAUGCUAUUUCACUCUCAAAAAUAAAUAAACAUUAAAAAAUUAUAAAAAACUAUCUUUAGACAAAUGAAAACAAAAAUACAACAUGUAUGUAAAAUGCCAUUGAAUUUUAUAACUCUAAUUAAAAGGGUAAAUUUUAUGUCAAGUGCAUUUUGCCACAAUAAAAAAUUUUAAAAAAAGGAAUGAAGUACUGACGCAUGGUACAACAUGGAUUAAACUUGAAAACAUUAUGCAAAGUGAAUGAAGUCAGACACAGAAAGCCCCUUAUUGUAUAAUACAAUUUAUAUGAGAUGUCCAGCACAGCCAAAUCCAUACACAUAUAGUGUAGAUUAUCAAUAGCCUGCCCUGGAGGAAACCUGGAAUGAAGAGUAACUGUUCAUAAGUAGCAUGAGGUUUCUUUUGGGGUGGUGAAAAUAUUCUGUAAUUAGAUAGUGGUGAUGGUUAUACACAUCUGUGAAUAUAACUAAAGCUACUGAAAUGUGCACUUUUCAGCAUGAUUUUGACUAUGCUUUAUAAGGAAGUAUAGCAUAGGAGUUAAAUUCACAGGCUUUGGAAUCAGACAGACUUUAGUUUGGGCCUGGCCUCCAAAAUGUAAAAGCUCUCUGAUCUUGAACAAUUUAUUUUCUAUCUCUAAAGUAUUUUUCCUAUGUAAAGAAGGAAAUUACUAUAACUCAUAUUUAGGUUGUUUCAAGAUUUAGUGAUACUAUCCAUUUAAAGCAUUUAAAGUAAAAAAAAGAAAAAAAAAGAAAUAGUGAGUUUUACCAAAUACUAAAAAAAGAAGAAGCCUGAGAUACUUAGCGUUCAUAAAAAAGGCAGCUAUUGUUGUUAUAAUAAUCUAUUAUUCCAUACAUAUACAUAGAUGAAUGACUGGAAAGAAAUACAUAUUGAUUGUCAAAAAAAUAAUCUCUAGAUGGUAAGAUUAUGCAUGAUUGCUCUUUUCUUCAAAGUUUUGUUUAUAAAUAUUCUACAAUGGCCAUUUUAAUUUUAUAAUAUAGCUAGAAUAAACUUUGUCUAGUACUAUUAAAUUUUUUGCAAUGUUUCACCUUUAAAAAGAAGCAACACUGUUUUAAACUCCAGAAAAUUCUACCCAAUGAUCUUCUAUGAAGCAUUUGCUUAGUUUGUUGGGUGUGAUUUCUGUUUGGGGGAAAUAACCAUGGAAAUCAACACCUCAGAGUACCAUCAUGAUUGCAACUGGUCCAAGUGGUACAAUUGCUGACUGUGUGGCAAGGUCAGAAGUAACAGGGCUGAAGCUACUGCAUCAGGCAGCUUUCCAGAUUGUUGACAGUAGUUAUGUGAUGGAAUAUGCAGCAGAGUGUAGAGCUAUGUCAGGCCAGCAGAUUUAGUGGUCCACUAUUGUUGUUGAUUGGUUGAGUGACCUUUUAAUUGUAACCUAAGUAACUAAGAGUCUUUGUUUAUGGAAGGUUUCUAGGACUGCAGUCUUUCAUAUGCAUCCUUAUAGCAGUGUCUAUAGCACUGCACCACUGUUCAGUUUCUGGCUUUCUUUGGAAGGGACUGUAAAUCUUGUGUUGCAAAGGUAUUGAUCCACAGAAUUCCAGUGUGAUAAUACAAAAAAUCCCCAGCAUUUGCCAACAUAUAUCAUCUGUUUUUAUGAUGGGAAGUUAUACGAUAUUUGUAGAAAAAGAUAGGUAUAAAUACAUUUAAUUUUAUGGUUCAUAGGAUAGCACCAUCAUUGCAAAGAUGGAACAAUUCUUGUGUAAUAUCUAAAAAACACUAUGAAACUUUCUGUUUUUCACCAAAUACAUUGCAUGUAUUUUAUCUUCCUCAAUGCUUUUCUUUUGUCCUAAAAGUCUUUUUUUAAUGUUUAUUUACUUUUGACAGAGAGAGAGAGAGACAGAGAGAGAGAGAGACCGAGAGAGAGAGAGACAGGGCAUGAGCAGAGGAGGGGAAGAGAGAGAGACACACACAGAAUCUGUAGCAGGCUCCAGGUUCCGAGCUGUCAACACAGAGCCAGAUGCAGAGCUUGAACCCAUGAACUGUGAAAUCAUGACCUGAGCUGAAGUCAGAAGCUUAACCAACUGGGUCACCCAGGUGCCCCUUGUCUUAAAAGUCUUUAACCAAUAAACCAAUCUAUGGAAACCUUUUGUAUUAUUCUUCUGUUAUUUGAGUAAAGAGUUCUUAAAUUAAAAUUCUUUACUCCUACCCUGGAUGAGAACGUCAUGUAGAUUUCUACAUACCUAGUUCUGCUCUAAUACUAAAGGAAAAUCUGUGUCCCAUGAAAAGAAAAUCUCUUUUUCUAACUUCCACUCUUCAAAUCAUUGCUUUCUUGCAGCAACUGCAAGCCCUGCCUACCAGAGUACUUUACUCCUCCUAAACAGAGAGACUAGUUUAGCAGUAGGUCAGUGAUACAGAUCAUGCCAAUCUGGACUUAACCAUAGUGAUUGUCUCAGGACAUUAGGGCCAAGUUGAUCUAAGAAUAAAUCCUGUGCUUUCUCAGGCACUACCAAGAGAAUAUAAGCCUGAAGUUGCAGUUGGUCGCCAUAAGGAGAGGGCCUACCUUGGAGUAAAGCCAAUGUAAAGGUAAUAAAUGCCAAAAAAAAAAGGACACUCAGCCUUGAACACAUCAUUAUAGUCCCUGAUUCAAGCUGUUCAUGAAGCUAAUAAUCCCCCACCCUUUUUCUUUUCCUUAAACCAGAGUUUGAUUUUUUAUAUUUACUACUGAAAUAAUACUAACUGAAUCAUAGAAGUACUGUAUAUGCAAAGUGAGAAAAGGGCAAAAAGGAAUAGAUUACUAGGAAAUUGUCACAAAAAGUGUCAUUUACAUUUAAAUGAUAUGCUUUUAUUUUCUUUUUAUUAAUUGAGCAAUUAUUCUAUAACCAUUUGUUAAGCAAUUGUUGAUUGCUAUAACCAUUUAUUAAUAAUUGUUGAGCAAUUAUUCUAUGACCAUUUGAAUUUCUUUUCCCAGUCAAUAAUCUAUGAUCCCUCCUUUAUCAUAUAAGUUCAUAAAUAUAUUAGGGUCUAUUUGAAAGUUAUUGCUCAUCAGUAACAUUUUUCAUGGUAUCAAGGAAGUUUGUCACUGUAGGGAAAUAAAUUAAUAUAAUGAAAAUAUCUUGGGGCACCUGGUUGGCUCAGUCUGUAGAGCAUGCAACUCUAGAUCUCAGGGUAGUGAGCUUGAGCUCCACGUUGGGUGUGAAGCCUACUUAAAAUUAAAAAAAAAGAAAGGGGUCAAGGUCAUCUGGGUGGCUCAGUCGGUUAAGUGUCCGACUUCCCCUCAGGUCAUGGUCUUGCGGUUUCUGAGUUCGAGCCCCGUGUCAGGCUCUGUGCUGACAGCUUGGAGCCUGGAGCCUGCUUUGGAUUCUGUGUCUCCCUCUCUCUCAAAAAUAAACAUAAAAAAAAAAAGAAAGGGUCACCUGGGUGGCCGAGUCGUUAAUCCCCAGGCUCUUGGUUUCAGCUCAAGUCAUGAUCUUCCUGGUCCUUGAGUUUGAGCCCUGUGUCCAGUCGUAGGGUUCCAUGCUGACAGUGUGGAGCCUGCUUGGGAUGCUCUCUCUGCCCCUCUCCCGCUUGUGCACUCACUCUCUCUCUCUCAAAAUAAGUAAAUAAAUACAAACUUAAGAAAAUAUCACACCAAUAAUUCCACUAUCCUCAUUUAAUUUUCCUUUGGAAUAUAUUCAUAUGUACAUAUGUGUAUGUAUGUGUGUGCAUGUGUGUGUAUAUAUGUAUGCACACUGAACAUGAUUUUUUAUUUUUAUAAACUCCACAUAAAACCAACUAUAUUGUACUACAAUAUCUUGUUUUUUAAAAUUGUAUCUUUUUUUCUCAUAUCAUGAAAUUCAAAGUCACAAAUGUAAAUAGCUCCAUAUAAUUCCAUCCUAGGGUUGCACCAUAAUUUAUUUACCUAUUCCUGUAAAUUAGUUUGUUAUUCUUAUAACAUUAAAUAUUAUUCAAAAACAGUUUUGAGUAGCUGCCUAACAGCUCAGCAAAAGGUUAUUCUCACAAUAUUUUCUUUAUUGAUUUCCAUAAUUUUUGAUGUUUAGGUGGUCAAAAAAGGGGUCAAGUUUUUGCUGUUAUGAAACUGCAAUAAAAAAUCUUUCUUAUAAUAGAUUGCUGAUGGUAUUUUGAUUAUAUCUUUAGAAUAAUUCCAUAGAUGUACAAUUACUGUGUCAUGUAUAUGCAUUCUUGGCUAGCUAUUCUGUUUUAAUGCUCUAUUUGUUAAAUCUGUGCCAGUGUCAAAUGGCUUUAUAAAAUGCCAAUUUAGAGGUUGUCUCUCUCUCUCUACACACACACCCCCCCACACACACACAGCCAAGUUCCCCUUUAAUUAUCUUUUUUAUAUAAUUUCUUAGUUUUUCUUACUUUUCUAUUCUUAUAAAAGAAUUUCAGAAUCAUUUGUCACUUUAGUAUAUGUAAUUGAAAUUAUCAUUGGAAUUGCCUUAUUUGUAAUUUAUAAAGAAAUGACAUAUUUACAAUUCUUCCUCUUUCUAUCUAAAUUUUUUAAAUUUUUUUUAAUGUUUAUUUUUGAGAGAGGGAGAGGGGGAGAGAGAGAGAGAGAGAGAGAGCAGAGAAGGAGCAAAGAGAGAGACACAGAAUCCGAAGCAGGCGCCAGGCUCUGAGCUGUCAUCAGCACAAAGCCUGACGAAGGGAUCGAACCCAUGAACAGUGAGAUCAUGACCUGAGCCAAACUUGGACACCCAACCAACUGAGUUACCCAGGGGCCCCUCUAUCUAGAUUUCUGGUAUGCCCUUUGAUUGAUUUAAAAGUUAUUUUGUGUCAUUCAGCAAGGUUUCAUGUUUUUUUUUUUAUUUUUAUGUAGAUCUAGCACAUUUCUUCUUAAGUGAUUAUUUUUAGGAAUUUUAUAUAUUUUAUGUAUUUUUUGUUUCUUUGUUUAAAUACCAUUUUUACUGUAAAUACUUUGUUUUGUGAUUGUUUCUGGUAUAUUUGAAUUUUGAUCUAAUUUUUGUAUUGUGCUAGCCCCUUGACCUCUCUUGUUACUACUAAUUACUAUUCUAGUUAGAUAGUGAUAUGACCUAUAAGUAAUGAUAAUUUUGCCUCUUUUUCCAACAAUUAUUAUUUUUUGUUUCAUAUCUUAUAGCACUAAGUAGAAAAACAAUAACAAUUUUAAAUUAUGGUUUUAAAUCUCUAAUUUAACAAAAUGCUUCCAAUGUUUACAUUAAGUACAAUGUUCAUGCUAAGAAAAUGUUUUUUAGAUUACCUAGAAAGUUUUUUUUCUAUAUGAGGAGGAAAUAUUAUUUUUAUCAAAUCACUUUUCAGCAUCUAUUGAAGUGAUUGUAUAAUGUUUUCUUUUGACUUAUAGAUGUAAAGACUUUAUUAAUGAUAAUAAGAGCUAAUGCUUAUGUAGCUACAUAAAUGAAGUUGGACCUCUGUCUUACACUAUACACAAAAAUCAACUCAGAAUAUAUUAAAGACUUAAUAUAAAAUAAAAAACUUUGACACUCUUAAAAGAAAAGUUUGCUGACAUUGGCCUUGACAAUGAUUUCAUGGACUUGACACCAAAAGCACAGGCAAUAAAAGGAAAAAUAAACAAGUGGGACUCUAUCAAACUAAAGAGCUUCUCCACAGCAAAGGGAACAAUCAACAGAAUGAAAAGGCAACCCAUGGAAUGUGAGAAAAUAUUUGCUAAACCAGAUAUCUGAUAAUGAGUUAAUAUCCAAAAUAUAUAAAUAACUCAUACAACUCAAUAGCAAGAAAACAAAUAACCCAAUUUAAAAAUGGACAAAAGACCUGGAUAGACUUUGCUGUAAAGAAGACAUACAAAUGGCUGACAAGUAUAUAAAAAGGUGCUCAACAUCAAUCAAUAAUCAUCAGGGAAAAGCAAAUCAAAACCACAAUGAGGUAUCACUUCACAUAUGUUGGGAUGCCUAUUAUAAAACACACACACACACACAAACACACACACACACAAGAUAACAAGUGUUGGUGAAGAUGUGGAGAAAUUGAAACCCUUGUACACUGUUGGCAGAAAUGUAAAAUUUAUGCAUAUUAUUAAGAAGGAUUAGGCAAAAGUUUUCAUAUUUCCUUUCUUUGUUCUUUGCAUAUCUCCAGAUAAUCUAGGUUACUCUAACUUCAUACAAAAAUUACAAAUAUUUUCAUAUUUGUAAGUACUUUGAAAUAAUUUAAAUAUUAUUUAUAUCCUUAAGAUUUUAAACUUUUGUAGAUAAAAAUUUGGAGCCCAUAAUCUUUUGAGACAAGUGAUAUUUGAAUUCCUUUACACAUUUUCUUGAAUUACUAUUAUUCUUUUCAAAUUUUCCAUUACAUUUAGUCUCAAUCUUGGCAAUUUAUAUUUUAAAAAGUGUGCCAUUCUUAUAGUUUAAAAUUUCUUUUCUCCGAUUUUUUCAUACUGUUCAUUUGAAAUUUUUGCUCUUUUCCACAUUUGAGAAGACUAAGGUUUGGAUUUUAUUAAUUUAUAUAUUUGUGUUAGAGCUUUAAACCCAUGACUUAAUAUUAUUUUGACUAAAAAUGUUCAAACUGAAGGCAGAAACACUAUCGAGUAAUACAUGGCUAAGAAAUGUACAGAAUUUCAAUUGUUCUAAAAAUUUGACAUUUUAUAAGUGAGACAAGAUGAGUAGCAUCUUUUGGGAAAUUACCUUUCCUGGAAAACAAAUUAUGCUUUAAAAUAAAGUCCUUUUUUUAGGGCUGGGAGGAGAAUACUAGAGAGAAAAGUAUGCAAGUUUAAUUGAAUAUGACAGAAAUCACUUUUCAAAUUGUUUUUAUAAAUUUGGUUUUCAUGGUGUUGGUGGUGUCCUUAUGUGACAACUCACAAAAAAGGCAAAUGGAGGUUUAAUCUGGAACAGCUAGAUAAAUUCACCAUGCUUGGCAGCAUAAGAAACUUACUUGGCUGUAUUUGUCUCAACAACUUUACACUUAACCAUGCUCUAGGCAAAUAAGAAACACAUAGAAUUGGAAGUUGCCAUUUUUAAUAUUUUUAGUUAAAUAAUCCUUCAAUGAAUUUUUCUACUGUGUAUUAAUGUAUGUAUCUGGAUUUAGAGAUAUGAGUAUGAAAGUAUGAAUCUAAACAAAUAUGUAUGAAUUUUAUAUUUGAAUUCUUAUCUAUACUAACACAUUAAUCUGAUGUAGGGAAUUGACCUAUUUCGUCAACACUGUGAUGGUAGACUAAAAAUAAAUUACUCUGAAAUCCUUACUACUUUGGUCUGGAGGAAUUGUUCUGGGUUGCAAAAUGCAUGACUAUGAAAGACACAAAGAUAAUAACCCAGAGCAAGUUAAGUUAAAAUAAACAACACUCAGACAGGGUGCCUGGGUGGCUCAGUUUGUUGAGCAUAUGAUUCUUGCUUUCAGCUCAGGUCAUGAUCUCAAAGUUCAUGGGAUCAAGCCCCAGCUCUGUGCUGACAGCAUGGAGGCUGCUUGGGAUUGUCUGUCUUCCUUACUCUUUGGCCCUCCCUGCGUGCGUGUGCACACACACUCUCUCUUUCUCUCAAAAUUAAAAAAAUAAAAAAAUAAAAAUAAUCACUCAGACAAUGUGUAAAAUAUACCUAAAUUGUAAUUAAUCAUUUUGUCUCUGGUUAUGAAUAAUUAAUUCCUUUUGGGAUGAUAGUAUGAACUAGCAUGUUGUCUUUAUUUUUAAUUUAGUCCUCAGUAUUUACUCUUUUAUAUUAACCAGUACAAAUUAAUAGAUACAAUUACAUUUGGGUAUUAUAAUUUCUAUGACAUAUUUCUUUAUAGGCAAUAUUAAUAUAUAUAACUAUGUGAUGAUAUUUUGGAAGGGAUUUUCAAUAUGAAUAAGCUGGCUUGGAAAAACUAUAAUCUUUUAUAAUCUAUUAUAUUUUACACGAUUGAAUUUUGCAUUUUCAGCCUAGUCAAUUGAAUUUUUUACAGGUAUAAUUUCAUUAAACAAGAAAUUGAUUAAAUUUAAGCUUUAUGGAAGGAAAAUUGGAAAUAAAUUGAAUGAUAUUAAUUCUAUCUGAAAAUAGUCCACUGUUCUGAAAUUAAUUUAUUUGGUGAUGUCAUUUCUGGGGAUAGAAACUGUCAUUGGUAAAUGUGGUCAUUAUUAUGGUAUUUCAUGUUGUGCUGAUUGGUGGUGACAUCUUUUCAUAAGUAAAUCACUAAUAAUAAAAUGCUUGGUCUGGCUUUCAAGUGCAGUCCUAAGAAUAUAAUACAGGGAAGCCAGUGUAUGGCAUAUUUAAUCCAUAUGAAUGAUUGCAUUUAUACCCAGAAAGCAAUUAUAGUCAUUUGGAAAGUUAGAGCAAUUACAAGCUAAAUAUGUGGGUAUUGUAUUCAGAUCUAAAAAAAGAAAUUCGAGGACAGAGGAAUGGCAGUAAAUUUGACCAAAGUCAUAUGUUAUCUCCUCUCUAAAGUCUACCAUGGCAUCCUCCCUGCUAGACCUUAUUCACAUUUUUAUUGCAUUGUCACUAUGUGUUUACCUGUAUUUGUCUUUUCUACUUGCUUGAUGAGCUUUUGAAAGGGAAAGAUCUUGCCUUAAUUAUAGUGGUACCAUAUGUCAUCAUCUAGAACAUUGAAUUGUUCCAGAACCCAGGCAAUGACAGAUAAUAAAUGUGGUUUUUAAAUGGUGUGCUUUAAACUGCAUCAUGGAAUGAAUUGGGAAUAAGGGUGAAAUAAUAUGAACACAAUUAUUAAAAAAGUAAAAUAGAUGAAGAGAAUUUCAAAUUCCAUUGAAGAAUGUAACAACUUUAGGAUUGUUUAAAACACAGGUCCCGUGAAAUAUCAGGUCCUUUGAGAUUUUGUCCUUCCUCUCAAAUUUAUAUCAAAAGACGACUGACACGUUGAAGAGCAAAUUUACUUGCAGUACAUUUUAUCAAGUGUAGGACACACACUCUCAGUAACUGCUGUGUGUACCCACUUGGAACCCCAGAGUUAGUGUGCAGAUUACUUUAAAUUUUUUUAACGUUUAUUCAUCUUUGAGACAGAGAGAGACAGAGCAUGAAUGGGCGAGGGCCAGAGAGAGAGGGAGACACAGAAUAUGAAACAGGCUCCAGGCUCUGAGCUGUCAGCACAGAGCCCGACGCGGGGCCGAACUCACGGACAGCGAGAUCAUGACCUGAGCCGAAGUCGGAUGCUUAUCCGGCUGAGCCACCCAGGUGCCCCUAGUGUGCAGAUUAUUUUAAACUGAAAACAUCUGAUAAUCAACAGAUGCAGAAAGAAGCUUUCUCAUUAUUUUCCUUAUCUGACUAAAAGCAGAAAUCUAUAGGAAACGAAGCUGCCAUAAAUUCCCUCUUUGGGGUGGGACUACUGCCAGGAGAGAGACCAAGAAUAAACCUAUCAUAAAUCCCCCUUUGGGGGGAGUUUCAUGGCCAUGAAGAAGUCAGAAAGACCACUUGCACCUGCAUAACAAUAUCACGAACUUUCUUAUCUCCCAUUUGUUGUCCUAAAAAUUAGUUUUUCUUUCCUAAAGAAACAUUAUUUGUUUUUCCCAUAGAAGCCUUUGUCCCCACCAUACAUUCCUCUAAGUUAGGUAAAGAGCCUCUAACUUUAACCAUUUAGCAAGCUAGCUACUUCUUUUGUUAGCUGCUAUAUGCAUAUGAAUUAACUAUCUUUCAUUGGUUUAAUUAGUAAGCCCCAAACACUAAACUUAAGAAGGUGGAGUAGAACAUCACUGGUAUGUAGGAUAUCUGAGUAUUCAGAUAUUCAUUUGGUGAUAGUGAGACAAUACACAGAGGAAACUGAAAUUGCCAUUGAGAUAUGAUAAAAUCUAAAUCACAUAAAUUUCUCAUUUACUAAAAUAUUUAAGUAAAACAACCCUAUGUGGGAGAGCCUGAUUUUGAUCAUAGUUUUGAGGACAUAGUUAACUGCAGCGUGAAUAUGAUUAAGAGUAAAUCCAUACCCCAACUGACACCUGAGAGGUUGCCUUUUAUUUGGGUUUCUUUUGUUUGUUUGCUUCCAGUAUUUUUUAAAAAAUCUUGUUAGUUAAAAUAUAGCAUAACAUUAGUUUCAGGAGAAUUUAGGGAUUCAUCACUUUACGUAUAACACCCAGUGCUCAUCACAACAGAUGCCAUCCUUAAUACCAAUCACCAUUUAACACAUCCCCCUGCCCACCUCCCAUCCCCAAACCCUCAGUUUCUUCUCUAUAUUAAGAGUCUGUUUUAUGGUUUGCCUCUCUCUAUUUUUUCCACAAUAUUCAUCUGUUUCAUAUCUUAAAUUUCAUGUUAGUGAAAUCAUCUGGUAUUUGUCUUUCUCUAACUUAUUUUGCUUAGCAUAAUACACUCUGGGUCCAAACCUAUCAUUGCAGGGGUGCCUGGGUGGCUCAGUCAGUUGAGCAUCUGACUUCUGCUCAGGAUAUGAUCUCACAGUUCAUGGUUUCAAGCCCACGUUGGGCUCUGUGCUGGCAGCUCAGAGCCUGGAGCCUGCUUUGGAUUCUGUCUCCCUUUCUCUCUGCCCCUCCCCUGCUUGUGCUCUGUCUCUCUGUCUCAAAAAUAACAUAAAAAUUAAUUUAAAAAACAAAAAGCUGUAAAAAAACACAUGUCAUUGCAAAUGGCAAGAUUUCAUUCUUUUUCAUGGCUGAGUAAUAUUCCAUCACACACACACACACACACACACACACACACACAUCACCUUUCUUUUUUAAUUUAUUUAUUUAAUGUUUAUUUGCUUUUGAAAGAGAGAGAGACAAGUGUGAGUGGCGGAGGGGCAGAGAGAGAGGGAGACACAGAGUCCGGAGCAGGCUCCAGGCUCUGAGCUGUCAGCACAGAGCCCGAAUUGGGCUUGAAUCCAUUAACUGUGAGAUCAUGACCUGAGCAAAGUCGGAUGCAUAACCGACUGAGCCACCCAGGUACCCCUAAAUUAAUUUAUUUUUAAAUUUAAAUCCAAGUUAGUUAACAUGUAGUGUAAUAAUGAUUUCAGGAAUAGAAUUUAGUGAUUCAUCAAUUACAUAUAACACCUAUUGUCAUCCCAACAAGUGCCCUCCUUAAUGCCCAUUUUCCAUUUAGCCCAUCCCUCUACCCAACACUCCACCAGCAACCCUCAGUUUGUUCUCUGUAUUUGAGAGUCUCUUAUGGUUUGUCUCCCUCUCUUUUUUUAUCUUAUUUUUGCUUCCCUUCCCCUAUGUUCAUCUGUUUUGUUUCUUAAAUCCACAUAUAAGUGAAAUUAUAUGAUAUUUGUCUUUCUCUGACUGACUUAUUUUGUUUAUCAUAAUACACUCUAGUUCCAUCUACAUUACAAAUGGCAGGAUUUCAGUCUUUCUGAUUUCUGAGUAAUAUUCCAUUGUAUAUAUAUACCACAUCUUCUUUAUGCAUUCCUCAGUCGAUAGACAUUUGGGCUUUCCAUACUUCGGCCAUUGUCCAUAGUGCUGCUAUAAACAAUGGGGGGUGUGUGCCCCUCCGAAUCAGCAUUUUUGUAUCCUUUGGAUAAAUACCUGGUAGUGCGAUUGCUGGGUCUUAGGGUAGUUCUAUUUUUAUUUUUUGAGGAAACUCCAUACUGUUUUCCAGAGUGGCUGUACCAGUUUGCAUUCCCACCAGCAGUGCAAAACGGUUCCUCUUUCUCCACACCCUCUCCAACAUCUAUUGUUGCCUGAGUUGUUCAUUUUAGCCAUUCUGACAGGUGUGAGGUGAUAUCCCAUUGUGGUUUUUAUUUGUAUUUCCCUGAUGAUGAGUGUUGUUCAGCAUCCUUUCAUGUGUCUGUUAGCUAUCUGGAUGUCUUCUUGGAAAAGGUGUCUAUUCAUGUCUUCUGCCCAUUUUUUCACUGGAUUAUUUUUUUUUUUGAGAAGUUAAACUUUCACUCUUCACAAUGACAUGAUACUCUAUGUGGAAAACCCAAGACUCUACCCAAAAACUGCUAGAACUGAUACAUGAAUUCAGCAAAGUUGCAGGAUAUAAAUCAUCUUACGGAAUAAUGAAGCAGCAGAAAGAGGAAUCAGGGAAUUGAUCCAAAUUACAAUUGCACCAAAGCCCAUAAAAUACCUAGGAAUAAACCUAACCAAAGAGGUGAAAGAUCUAUACACUGAAGACUAUAGAACACUUAUGAAAGAAAUUAAGGAAGACACAAAGAAAUGGAAAGACAUUCCAUGCUCAUGGACAUUGGAAGAGCAAAUAUUGUUAAAAUGUUCGUACUUCCCAAAGCAAUCUACAUAUUCAAUGCAAUUCAAUCAAAAUGACAGCAGCAUUCUUCACAGAGCUAGAACAAACAAGCCUUUCACUAGGUUUUAAGCCCAGUGUCAACUGACUUGAAUUUUGGGACAUCGUUGUAUAAGUCAGACCAUGUUAUUAAAGACAGUAGCUCCUAGAGUAAGAGAAAUAGGCACUUGGGGGGGAAUGUGAACAACUUAGAACCAAUUGUAUUUUGUUUAGUAAAUAUUGCUUUUAUUGUUCUAUUGCAUUUAAAAAUGAUCUUAUAUGUGGAAGUUUUUACUACUAAAUUGAAGUUCACUACUAAAUAGAAAGAUACUCAGUAAGUAGAAUAAUCCCUGGAUCUCUUUAUGAUCUUGCUAAAAGUAUUAUAACUGCUAUUGUCUUUUCUAAACUGAUUCUAAUAUUACAUAUUGGGACAUUGUUAGGUUUAAUUACUGUCCACAGAAUAAUUGAAGAUGAAGAAAUACUAAUUACAUGAAUAAACUUCAUAGUUUUUUAGUUACUAUUUAUUGUAUAACGUUUGAUAUAAUGUGUCAGAUGACACUAGUUCAAGUUUAAAAGUUGAACUGAGCUUAUUAUGAGAUUUAAUUCAUUUUUGUCAGUAAACAGAGAACUUUGGCCUUCCAGCAAAAUUUCAUCCAAGUAGCUUGCCAGAAGAAUGUAAUUUGAUAAGCAACUCUAAGCCACGAGAAGACAAGUUUAAAAAAGUAUAGCAUCGAUAUAAAUGUUCUUAGGCUGAUGAUACCCUGAGGCUAGGAAACCAUUUCUGCCAUCUUGAUUCCUUUCUCUUCUUUAUCUGGCAUUUUAUGACUCACUUAUAUUUAUUUGAAUUGGAUUUAGGUCCUCUAAUGGUUUCACAAAUCUGAAGUUACUAUUUAAAAAAGCCUCUUUUCGCUUAUCUCUAUGAAAGAUUGUACUCCAAGAACAAUUAGGUUGAGGAAAAUCUAUUUAAAGGUAUUCAGAAUUUUUAAAUCAGACAACAAAAACUUUACCUGAAGCCUUACUACCUUUUUUAUGUAAUCCUUUAAUCAACCCAGGAACAAUUAUAUAUUUAAUUCUGUGCAACAUUCUAGGGUACUUUAAUACUUUAAUUAGGAAUUUACACAUGGAAAAAUUACAGAAGUAAUUAAGGAUAUUCAGAUUAAUUAAAAGCGUUAAGAGGUAUUAAAUGUGAAAGAACAGAUUUUUAAUUAAAUCUUUCAGGUUUUUUUUUUUCUUUUCAAGAUAUUCCGUACUGAAAAAAAAGGUAGUAACAGUUUUAUUUGAAUCAGUUAUGCUAGAAAUAGCACAUUUUUAAGUGAGCUGGCUGUCAUCUUUUGUAUUCACUUAAAGUUUUUUAUUCCUCACUUACUAAAAAUGUUUUAGUGAGAUGAGCCUUCAUUGCUAUUAAUGAAUAGUUCACUAGCAAUGAAAGAAGUCAAAGGCCCAAAGGUUUAGCUUAAAAAUCUCCCAAGGAGAAUACCUGUAGGAAAUAUGGUACUGAAUAAAUUGACCAUAGAGUGUUCUUUUUGUAGGAAAAUUGGGGAAUCCCAUCUAUGCAGCAGUGCAAGGAAGAUAGGAGAGUGGAGUGCUAAGCUUUGGAAGUAGCUGCUACUUCAAUGCUAAUAGAAUAGCCAUAGUAGUAAGUCAAAGUAAGUUUAGAUGAAGGAGGGAAAAGUUCAUUCUCCUCUGAGCAAGAUGAGACUGAUGGAAAAGGAGGAUAUCUGUGGGCCUAUUGAAGUAAAUGACUCUUUAAGAUUACAGUCCACACAGGUUCCUCAACUGCAGGUGGAGGUAAUGAGAGGUGCAGGUGCAGGUGAGGGAGCUGUGAGCCAAAUUUAAAGUGCCAACAACCUUUUUCCUUCCAUAAGUAAACUGAAAUUUGGAGUAGGAUGCCUUUACAAACAUAAAAAAAACAAAAGUAAAAGCAAAAUCGUCUUCAUUUGGAGAAGGAAUCUAAAAGGCUUUGGAAGAUGAACAUGGCCCCAUGAAAAGAACUACUCUGUCCCAUCUGUUGCUCUUAGAAAAAAAGGUAAUUAUUAAAGUUAGUGACUCAUAACCAACUCUUCUCUCAUUGUGAUAUUUAACAAAUUUUAUUAAUAUGCUUAAAAUGCAUGAGAUUUAAUUGUUGCCUGAUAUUCCACCCUAGUAAUAUACCAUAAUUAACUUAGCCAUUUUACCAUUGUUGGAGAUUUAGGUUCUUUCACAUAUCACAGAUGAUGGAGUUUUGUUUACCCAUAUUUGUUCACAUCUCUGAUAAUUUCCUUAAGGUGGAUUUCUAAACCUUUAGUUGCUAGGCAAGGGCAGGGAAUAUUUUAAAAUUCAUGAGGGGUUUGCUAAUUUACAUUUGCACCAACAUAGCAUAAAAAUGCUCAUCACUUCGAACAAAAUACUGUAUGUCACACCUUUUAAUCAUUAUUAAUUUGAUAGGCAAAGAGUUAUUUCUGUUUGUAUUUAUUUGAUGAUUGAGAAGGUAACAGAAAGAAUAUAAAAUAUAAUAGGAUAAAGUGUAGAACAAGUUGCAUACUUUAUUUUAGCUCUAUUUAUUCAUCAUUGAUUUAUCAUGUAUGUAUUGAAUUUCUAUGGUACUUCUUUAGAUCUUGAAUCAUAAUAUGUAAAUCAUACUAACUUAGAGUCUUUAAGAAACUCAUAAUCUAUUUGUAGAAACAGGUAUGUAAACAAAUAACUAUAGCACAUUGGUAUACCUCCCAAAAAUAUGUAGAGAGUUCUUUGAGAACACAGAGAAAGAAAACAAUAACUGAGAACAGAUAAUGGAAAGAUUAGGCUGCAUAGAAAUAGUAGCACUCGAGUUUAGUCUUGGAAGCUGAGAUUGUUGAUGUACAACUGUAAGAAGGAAAGGAUGUUCCAGAAUAAAAAAGAGAAGGGAAAGGAUGUUCCAGAACAAAAAAAGAGAAUGUAUAAAUUCAGGAAGCAUGAAGGAAAUGGUGUAUUCAGAGAACUCCAAAGAGGUCAGUAUGAGUAGAAUAUGGAGUUCAUUUUGGUGAGUAAAGAUCAUGGAUUUUAAAAAGUGAGUUAUGAUCAGAUAAUGUCUCUUAAACUCUGACCCUCAACAUAACAUUUUAACUAGGGCAAGUGUUUUUGCUAUAUAUUUCCAUAGCAUCAUGAGCAUCUAUUCUUAUAACAGUUAACAUAGUUUUUAAUUUUCUUUUAAUGUUUAUUUAUUUUUGAGAGACAGAACAUGCACAGGGAAGGAGCAGAGAGAGAGGGAGACACAGAAUCUGAAGCAGGCUCCAGGCUCUGAGCUGUCAGUGCAGAGCCAGACAUGGGGCUCAAACUCACCAACCACAAGACCAUGACCUGAGCCGAAGUUGGAUGCUUAACUGACUGAGCCACCCAGGUGCCCCUAACAGUCACCAUAUUUUAAUUACGUUGUAGUUUCACUGUUUUUAGACUCUAACAUCCAUGAGGGCAAAGAGUCUGUCAGACUCACCAUCAAAUCUCCAGUUCAUAGCACAGUGCCUAUUGAAUAAAUGAAUGAAUGAAUGGAUGGACUUCAUAAUGUAGGCAUCAAGCAUUUAUUGAAGCAAGGACUUAUUAAAGCAAAUGAAAAACUACAUAUAAAAUUAAUUAUAAAUAAAUAUGUAAAUAUAUUCAUAUAAUAUUAUGGUGGGUUAAAGAGCAGCUGCCAAAAAGAUAUAUCUAAGUCCUAACCACACCUGUCAGGUACCCAAAAAUGUGACCUUAUUUAGAAAUAAGGUCUUUUUAGGUCAGGUUAAAUUAAGGAUCUCAAGAUGAGAUUAUACUAGAUUUAAGGUGGGUUUUAAUCCAAGGACAGGGGUCAUUAUGGAGAAAGGAGAGGGAAAUUUGAGACACAGGCACAUAAGGGAGAUAGCCAUUUGAAGAUGGAGGCUGAGAUUGGAGUUAUGCUGCCAAUAACCAAGGAAUGCUUGAAACCAUCAGAGGAUGGAAGAGGCAAGGAAAUAUUCUUCCCUAGAGCCUUCAGAGGGAGCAUGACCCUGCCAACACAUUGAUUUUAGUAUUCUGACCUCUAGAACUAUAGGGGAACAAACUGCUGUUUUAAGUCACCCAGUUUGUGGUAAUUUGUCACAGUAGCCCCAGAAAAUGAAUACAGAUAUAUAAUACAUAAUAUGAUAUGUAUUCAACUAUAUAUGUUUAAUAACUGGCAGAAAAGUGAAGAAUAGAAUAAAAAAGUAAAGGCUAAAGAUAGAAUAAAAUUAAGAAGGGUUUUUAAUUGUUAAUGUACCAGGUAGGAAAUGAUAGGAGACUGAAAAGUCUUUAGCAAGGGAAUAUGUCUUAUACAUUCAGAAGUUAAAACUUAUAUAUUGGAUUUGGUGUGGGGAGAGUAAGUAACUGAGAGAAGAUGAAGAUGAGUCCCAAAUUUCUCAUCCAAGAAAUUGGUUGACUGAUAAUUAACAGAAGUGAAAUGCAAGAAGAAUUAUGGAUUUGGUAAAUCUGCACCUCAAAAACAGAUAUUCUUUGUUAUGUGUGGCCAGGUAAAUAUCUUCUCCCUUAGUUUAGUGGCCAGAUAUUUAUGCAGAGAUUUCAUAAUAUCCUGGAACUAAUAAGUCUCCUGCUUUUUGCCUAGGGACUGUGUCUAGAUGUUGGAGAGCAUGUUUAAGAGUCAGCCAGGAAGUUGACAACUGUGCUUUAUCUCUCACUUCCUACUUGUACAGAAUCUCAGUGUCUGCCUGAGGUGAAGGCUUAGCACUUUCUCAGGUCUUUCUGGAGCAUUCACAUAACCAUGAUAUGCUCGCAGUCCUACAUGUAAGCACGGCCUUCUAGAGUUCCGGGAAUAUGUGUGAUCUUUACAAGGACUUGUACAGACAACUCAUUCCUCAGCUUUUCCUUUUAAGGUUUUUGAUUAGCCCGUUCUGUGUCCCAACUGUCAUCCACUGCUUCAGGCAGCCAUGAAUUUAAUCAAUUGCUUAUAAUUAUUUUUUACAAACUCCCCUUGGGAAAAGAUUGUUUACUCCUGGUGACCCCCAUGUCAGGUCAAAUAAGCAGUCUUACAGCUAGGGUGUUCCAGGGAAACACCAAACAGGUCAAAUAAAUAUGAAUUCUUUUGGAAUGAGGCUCUGAAGGAGCUCCAACUCCAUCUGCACCUUCUGAUGACUACAAGUCUGUGAGUUUUCCUGGUGACUGCAUGGUCAUUGUGAAUUGUUAGUUCUCAAAGCUAGUGAAAAUCUGGAGGUGGGUAUUAGAAUAGGGCAAGUUAAAAUGCCACAAAACUUGCUGCUUUUACUGAGAUUCAUCUUUUUUACUUAAGUAAACUCUGAAUUGCUGCAAGCUUUUGGGGAAUUUCCAGAUUUCUGAAAAAGUUGCUUCUGAUAAUUGCUGCCAGUUUUUCCAAUCCUUUUAGGGAAGAGAGAAUUUUAGAAGGUCCUUACUCUGCCAUUUUUGCUGGUGUUACUCUAUGCCAGUUCUCAUCUCACAUUGACAUUUGAUUAGACUUUUAUAUUAAUUGCAAUAGAUCCAAUUAUUAAUUUUAUUUUUAUUAUUGCAAGUAUACUUUGGUAAUAUGGUGCUAAGUAAUAUGGCCAGAUUUUCAAGGGCUAAGUCUCUUUAGUGGAAAAGGGUUUGGAGUAUAAAGAUCUCUUUAGUCUUCUUCAGCAGUGACCUUACCCCCAAUUCAGACCCUCAUUAUGUAUAUAUGUCAAAAUCAAUCUUUAAAAAUGCUUUUUAUUACAACCUCUGAAAGUUUCUUGAUUGUAUAUAGUAGCACUUGAGUGACAUUUUAUCUAUUGUUCUUAUUAAGUAUAUCAAAGAAGUCCUCACAGUGGUUUUUCUUUUGAACAAAAAAAUCUAAUCUUUCUCAUUCCCUCUAAAUGAAUUCCAUCACUGGAUAAAAGAAUUACUAAGAUUGCUAGCUGGGCAAAAUCAUAGAGUUACUAUAAUAAGAAAUAAUAAAAUAGAAAAAUGCCUCAUAUCAACAUCAUAGAAAAAGACAAGUUAGAAUUACUCAUUUUUUAACAUAGCUGUAUCUUCUGUAUUAAGCAUUACAGUUCUACAGCGAAUAAUAGAUUUUCCUAUGUGUUUUCAUCUCUUCAGAAAAAAGAAAUAAAUAGGUUAGUCAAUAUCAUGUGGCUAAAAUUAAGGCAAACAAUUGACUUUUAAUUAUUUGUAUGUGGAUAAUCCAUACAAGGCUUUUCUCACUUGUAUUUUUCUAUAUCUCUCAUUGUUCUCUUCACUUACUAAUACUAAGGAGAAAAACUCUGGAUGGAAUGUCUGAAUAUGAUAUUCAAACAUCCUAAUUGAUUUAGGAUUAACUGUUACUCUAUAAUACUAUGCUAUUUACCUCUCAUUGGAAUAUGUACAUUAUGUAAAGACAAAAACUUGUUUCAAGAAUAGCAUUUUAUUGUUACAUUUAUAUAUUUAUACUUAACAUCACUCAGUUUUAAAAUCACAGAUAUUUUCCCAUGAAAAGGACUGUGGAGAUGAACUUCAUAUAUCUCUCAUCCUGUCUCCAUCAGUCAAUGCUUCAGUCUUCAACAUUUUCUCUGGUCUUUCCAUCUACCUGGUUGCUUUAAUAUAAACCUGACUCUCCCCAGAAAAUACCACUUCUCUCACGUCUCAAUUAAGUGUGAAAUGUUUGUACUAACACGUCUUACAUAUUUUGGGGUUAGGAGUUAGUGUUCUGCUUCUACCACUUUGAAAUAAGUAUUACCCUCUUAUUUUACUUUCUUGUUAAUUAUCCUACCUUCUUAUUGAAACAAAUAAAAGUCACACAAAACCAUUUCAUUGAGGAUGCAUCCUUCUCAAAGAUCUGGAUUUUUGCUGGGGUUUCCAGUUCAGCAGUGCCUCACUUUGUAUAAGUCUUAAAUCUAAUUUCUGAUUUUUGUUGGGAUUGGCCAUUUAUCCUUGAAGCUUUCUUUUCUUGGUAUGGGCAGCCCAUAUUUCACUUACCGCAUCUGUUUCAACUCCUUAUUUAAUUUUUGUGACCCUUGGGCAUUUCUCUUUCUUAAAAGAUCAGCAAUGUACUUAAAAGUACAUUUUUAAUAUUUUAAGCAACAUCUAUGUGUUUUGCACUGGAAUUUUGUUGUUGUUGUUCAGAAUAUCUAGUUCACUGUUCUGUGGCAUAAAUAAGAAAUUUUAUUUGUAUUUUUUAAUUUAAUGCCCUCAUGUACUGUUUGGAUUUUUUUCUUGUGCCCAUGUUUAUUUUAUAAUACAUAUAUACAUGCAUGAACACAUGUAUACAUUAUUACAUAAAUUAAAAUUAACCCAAUUUAUUCCACAAAGAUUUAAUGAUUCUGAUACUGAAAUCUUGAUUUAAUGCUAUGCCUGUUGCAAAUGAAAGUAUGUAUGUUCACACACACGCACAUAUCUUAAGAGAAACUCAGAUUAUUUAUUGGUGAAAUACUAGGUACAUGCCCCUUAAAUCAGGAACAAAGAUGUUUGCUAUUAUACUUAUUUAUAAUGUUUCAAGACUUAUACAGAUGAUGUAAAUGUUAUAUCAGAAUUUUAAGUUUAGCUUUCAAAAUAAACCUUGAUUCAAUUGAUUUAAUUCAUCUUUGCUAUUUGUUUAACAUUGUCAUUGUUAUGCUUUGAUGCUCCCAACAUCUCAGACCUGUUAUAUAUUUCUCUGUCUUAGCAAUUAACUCUAAUAUGCAUCAUAUGGUCAUUUUGUACUCUUUGUUGGCAUGAUGGAGGAAAGCCUCAGUGGCCUGACAUUGAGGGUCAUUAUCUAGAAAUUGAUGCUUGAAUGACUCAAUGACAUUAUACAAAAAUAUUUCCACAUCAAGUAAGACAUAGAGGAUGAUUUGUUAAUUUGAUUUUACCUCAAGAAUGAUGCUUUUCAGUAUAUAUGCUAUUUGAUUUUUAAUUUAUAAACUUAAAAAUUCUAAGUUUGUUUCUAUGGUGAGAACUAUCAUGUUGGCACUGUUGUUGGGAAAUGCAUAUUGCAAAGUGAUGUGUUAUUUUAUUAAAAUAUAUGCUAUUAAAAUUUUUUAUUAAAAUUCUUGCUAGCUUAUUUCAUGUUCCUGGUGACCAGACAUACCACUUCUUUAUAACCCAUGUUCUAGAUCCAUUCUUUGCUCUGGAUAUUGUAGUUUUUCUAUACCUUAUGUGAAAUUUUAGUUGUACAUUUUUAAAGGAUAUGAAGAACUGGUGAUUUUUCCAGAGAAUAAUAGAAAUAAUUGGUGUAAUAGGUGAUAUAUUAUUUUAGGAAUGUUAAAGAAAUUAAGGUUGUUUAGCUUACACAAUGAAGGAUUAAGAACUGGUUAGAUUGUAAUUCCCGAUAUCAUAAAAAGCUUCUAAGAAAGGAAUAUUGAAAAAUAAUGUGCAUGUGUUAUCAAACAAGGAGAGAUUCACUUAAGUGGAAGUAGGAAAUGUGAUUUUUAGAUAAACAGAGAAGAUUGAUGAAAUACUGAAAGGCAUUAUAUGCUUCUUGAGAUCUUUAAAACAGUAGACAAUCAUCCAUCCUGAAUGGUUUAGCCUAAAGGAAGUGGGAUUAGUCAGAUAAUGCCAUAGUUUAUAUCUCUCAUUUUAUGAAUUCCUACAUGACUGGUCUCAUCCAUAGGUAAUAGUAGCAGUUGGAAAAGGCCCCUUUUGGCAUCCACUAAUAUUUGUUAGCUUGGGAUGAGAUGUUUUCACCCUCUCUAAGCCCAAGUAAUUUUAAUUCACUAAGAAUGAAGGAACAUAUCUUCUUCAUGGGAAGAAGUGUAAUUUCAUCCUCCUUUUUUUCCCUUUGGGUCUUAUUUCUAACAGUUUCAAUAUUAAACAAGAUUAGCAAUGAAACAACUCUCUGAUCUUUGUUGAACAUUUCACCUACAUUGAUAUCACCAAUGAUGAAUACAUGAAAAAAAUCUAUACCACAAGCUUAUAGAAUUCUGCUAUGUCCAGAAUAUGCCCCAGCUAUUGGAUGAUAAAAACCAUUGUUCACUAAUACACAUAAUAGGAUGCAGACUAAAAUGUCUAUAUGCCAAAUUGGUUAUGUUUCAAAAGUAUAUUCCAUGCAAUGCAAUAUUCUUGCCCCUGCCACUACCUCACAUCCACUUAGUGCCAUAUCUGUGAAAAGCUUUAUGUUAAAACAUUUCCAUACUGAGACAAGCUAACCUAACACUAUGGGCAAAGACUGGUUACAGUACACAUUUUUAUUAUGCCAUAAAAUGUUGCUCAUAGAGCAUGACAACUUCUCUGACAAACUAUAGUAUUAUUUUUGGUUUGUUGUUGUUGCUAUUUUUUUGUUUUGUUUUUGUUUCUGGCAUUUUGUUUUUAAAUAUUUUUGAUAUUCCUGACCAGUAGCAAUUCAUAUUGUCUGUAACUUGAGUUUUUAAUGCACAUAUCUCAAUAUAGUGUUUAAAAUACCAUUCCUGGGACAUUUGGGUAGCUCAGUCGGUUAAGCAUAGGACUCUGGAUUUUGGCUUAGGUCAUGAUCUCAUGGUUUGUGAGAUUGAGCCCCAUGUUGGGUUCUGCACUGACAGUGUGGAUCCUGCUUGGUAUUCUGUCUUCCUCUCUGCCCCUUCCCUGCUCUAAGUAAAUAAAUAUUUAAGAAAUAAUAAAAUAAAGUAAAAUGAAAUGAAAUGAAAUGAAAUGAAAUAAUAAAAUAAAAUAAAAUAAAAUGAAAUACCGUUCUUAAAAGGUGCACUGACAUAUUAAGGCAUGCCAACCUAGAUUUUCUACAGAAGGUGAAAUUAAUAUGUUUUAACUGUGCAAAACAAGGAAAGGAUGAUAUUGAUGAUUUUGAUUGAGUAAAAUAUUGAGCUGGUAAAAUUUAAAGGAUCUGUGAUUGGACUAGAUGGGAAAGUGGUAUUUAAUAAAAAUAUUUUUAACUUUGCCAUCCCCAAAUCUUCCCGGAAUGCACUGGGUCUGGCAUAUUAAAGUCAAUAUGAUAAUUUGAUAAAUGUGAAGGACUAAAGGUCCUAUAUCAAUGUACUAAGAAUAACAAGCUUUGACGUUAUAGGUGUUUCUCUCCUUAUGAACAAACAUUCCAAAAUAAGAGUUUAUAAAAUAUAUAAGCUGUGGAGUAAAUACAUAAAGAUUUGCUGUAAAGCUCCUUUCAGUAGUGAAAUGAAGUUAUAUAAGGCAUUGCUUAGAGAUAUGCUUAUGGGAAGCAGUUAACAUUAAUAGUUUAUUAAAGAUUCUUCUGAUAUGAAAAUGAGUUGCCAACAAAAUUCUAAAGUAGGUCAAUAGAAAAUUGGAUUUCUUUUUUUUUUUUUUCAAAAAAGCAGGUGUUUCAGAACGUAUAUGUGGUGUGUAGAAGGUUGUAUUUUAUUCAACAGCUACAUAUAUCGAGAAUUUAGAAUCAUGUGAAAUGGUGUUGUAGGAACUUCAUUACCUUGCUACUAAUCAUAGGAGGCAGGAAAUAAGCCUUUUCAGAAUGACAUAACAAGUGGGGGAAGCAAUAAGGUAAGAAUGAGUAAGAGGAGCAACUAAGGAUCAGAAGUUUUUGCUCUUUUCAAAUUGUGCCUGGUGAAAUAUUAACAGAUGGAACGUUGAUAAUUGAAACUUCGAUAUCCCACUUCCUGUCUCUGUUUCCUACAUCUUUUUCUCACUGUAGCAAGGAUAAUCUUUUCAAACAUUGCUUUUAUCAGAUUACACUUGCGUAAACAUCUACAGAUGAACUUCACACUAAAUUCCUCAGAUUUGACUUAAAUUUCCCCUCUAUAUCAUAUCUAUUACUUCAAUUUAUUUUGAUACCACAUACAAGGAAGAUAAAUAUAUUGUACCCUCCCACAUAAAUCUCCCUAUUACAUCACUAUGUUAUUAUCUGCCCUCACUGCAUUUGUUGUGAACAUUUGUCAUUACUUUUGGGUACUUACCUGAAUUCCCAGGUCGAUGAAUUUCUUGCCUUAUGAAUUUUGGCAGGAGAGAGAGCACACCUCCCAUUAUAGAAACUGAGAAAGUUUGCCUCCUCCUCCAACCGACCUUUUAGCUAGGGGAUAUGCAUAUGAUAGGUUUGUCACCCACCAUAGUUUUGAAUUUGAUGUUAUUCCCACUGUUUGUGUCAUUCAUCAAUAGAGUGCAUUCACCAUUAUACCCUAGCUCAUUUUUUCCUGCUCAUUACCCAAGCCUGUUUUUUAAAUUUUUGUUGUGAUUUCAUGAGAUAUCAAAUAGAUUCAAUAAAAUAUGUUUUUCCUAAAUUAUCCUAAAACAGUUUUGGUUGCCUGCAAUUAAAAACCUUAACUAAAUCGUUUUGUGUACUUGGUCUUGUGGGUUUGUAUUUUUUUGUUUUUGAGGUUUCAGUUUAAACCUUUAUUAAGAUACGUUGGAUAGCUUUCCCCUUUCAAAGUGUGUACUUUUUUUUUUUUUAACAAAGGAAAAUAUCUACAGUCCAGAAAGGUAAUGUCCUAAUUGCAGGGAUUCAGGCAUUUAUAUGUAAGUUUGUGGAGGAGUUAAUUUGAAGCAGAGGGACAUCCCCACAUUACUUUCAAAUCACAAUUAAGAAGUGACUUACUUCCUACACAGCCCCUUUCAGACACAGCAGAUGUCAUGGCAUCCACAAUGUUUCACAAUUCUUGGGAUUGAUUGUACAGACUUUCCCUUCAACGUGUAUCUCUUAUUUUUUAAUUAUAAGUGGAUUAUGUCCUGAAAAGAAGUUUAAAACCAGAUGAAGCUUACCUUUUCAAUCAAUGUAUUUGAGGAUAUUUUCCUUAUUACAUUUUCUUAUGAACAAUUUUCCUUAUUACAUUUUCUUAUGAAUAUUCUAAGAUUGCGAUCAUGCUAUACAUUCAAUUUUGCAUAUUGUUCUUUCUUUACUUAGCACUAUGUACAAAAGAUUUUUCAUCAAAAGUUACAAGUAGAAAGACAGAACCAAAAUUAGUAAUAAGCCACUCUGUUUUUGUUCACUACAACCACUCUUGAAUGGAACACUAAGGUUUUAUUUGCUCUGUAAGAGAGCAAACUAACUCUGUAAUAGUUAUCUAAGAAGAGCAAAUAGCAAACUGGGUUGGAAUAAUGUUUCAUACUGAUUAUGAUUUGGGGUGAUGGUGGGGAGGUCCGGAGCUGAUGGCCAAGAAAGAAUUCUUGAAGACAUCUUUGGUGCAAAACGGUAAUUUUAUUAAAGCAUGGGGACAGGACCCAGGGGCAGGAAGAGCUGCAUUGGAGUUGUGACAGGUAACUCAUUAUAUACCCUUAGGUUGGGAGGGAGUCAGGGAUAGAGUAAGUCUCUAAGGUAUUUUGGAAACAAGGUUUCCAGGACCUUGAGGGGCUAGCUGUUGCUAGGGAAACACCACUUAUUAUCAUUUAAUAAAACCACAGUCAUGAGACCCUUCAGAUGUAUAUGGUGGGGGGCAUAAGCUUGGAGUAUGAUUGCCGGCAUGUAUUUUGGGACAGGUGAGAUAAAGGAAGUAGACUUACAGGAUCCUCGAGGUUGGAUAAUGUUAAGCCAAGAUUCCCUUUUGCCCCUAGUAAUGUGUCAUCAUGGAGGCAGCUGAGCUCCUAGAGGGAAGUCACUCUGUGGGUUUCAAGGACUUGUCAAUGGGCUGUAGGCAGUAAAGGAACUUAAUUUUUCAUUUGCCUUACUUUCCCACAUCACCAUGGCAAGCACUUAAACCCCUUUCUUUUGUGAUUGGGUAGCCAUGAGUGUCCAAGGAAUAUCAUACAUAUUCCACCUGGGGUGGGUGUGUGUGUCAGCCUAUAUUUUGCCCUCAGCUUGCUCCACACUCCUUCAUCAAUACAAUCAGUGAAACAAGAGAAGUCCAAAGAGAAGCAUGACUGACUGUCUUUUGUUCCAGGGACUCUUGGACAAUCCUACAAAAUCAAGGCCUUUCUUGGCUGUUUUCCACAAGACAGUGAAUUCUUCAUCUGGGAGCAUAAGGAUUUGAAAAUAUACCAGGCUGGAAUAGUAUAGCAAGGUUUAGGCCUUUUCAUACCUAAGACAUAACUUAUUUAUGUUAUAAACAAGAACUGGAAGAGAUCAUGGGGUAUUUUGUAGUCUUUAUGGUUUAUAUUAUACUGUCAGGAAGGAAGGAUCUCCUUUGCGCUUCAAGGUCCUAGCUGUACUAAGAAUCAAAUUGAUGUCAGACAGAUUAACAGGAAAAAAAAUCAAAUCUAGUUCCAAAGAAAUUCCAAAGACAAUCAGGCAAAAUGAGGGGUAUAUGUCAUCCUGAACUAAGGAGAAAGGGGUAGGGGUCUGGGACUUCAAAGGGAAGGAAUACAAUUCACAGGAAGAUGAAAAAGAGUAAAUGUAUGGUAAACAAAUGUUUGCUGGGCAAUUCAAAAACAAUGAAACAUAGAGGACUUUGACAAACAUGCCUUGCUAGGUUCCUUCCUCUUUACCAUACCUAGUUCAUAUUAUAAUGUAGUUAUCUAUGAUGAUAGCUCUCUUCAUGGAGCAGGCCCUCCAUCCAAAUCCUUUUUAGGCAUUUGAGGGGGAGGGAAAGAGCUUUUCUUCAAUCUUCUAGAUUUUGAUUUCUUUUAACUUAAAAUAAUCUGCAUGUCAAAGUGACUCAUCUUGGGAAGGUCUGCCCUUGGCCCCUAAAAUACCAUGAGAACUUUUACAUACAUGUUAAUUUGUAAACAUCUCUGUAAUUGUAGGAAACCAAUGUAUCAAUGCCCUAAUUAAGGCAAUGUAUCAAUGCCCUAAUUAAGGAAAAAAUAUAAUUGUCUCCACUGACGUCAAUUUAGGCUCUAAAAAAAGGGAGGUAGGUUUUAUAGAGGGAGAGGAGCAGAGACCAGGCCAUGUCCAUAAUGACAGAGCAUGGACAAACUUUUAGGCUAAGACAGAAGACUGUUUUCAUUCUCUAUUUAGAUAUCUGAAACCGUUAAACAUAUAGUAGAGAAAACUCAUCAUUAAAGGGCUGAGAAAUCAUAUCUAAUUCUUGCUAAAUAUUAUCCUAAAUAGAAAAUAAAAGAGCUUUGUGUAAAUCUCUUCUGACCAAUGUCUAUCUCUGAAAUUCUCAUUCACUGCUUUAUAAAAUUAUCUGUUUAUUAGGGCCAGCUGUAGAGGGAGGGAAAAAAAGCCUUUUCUGCUAACGUUUUGGUCAAAAUUUCUUCUAAAACACCUUAAACAUUUACCUCAAAAGGCUUGGGAUAUUUUUUCUUUUCUUUAUUAACUUUGUUGAGGAAUAACUGACAAAUAUAAUUGUAUACAUUUAAAGUAUACAAUGUGAUGAUUUGGUAUAUGUAUGCAUUGUAAAAUGAUUACCAACAUCAAGAUAAUUAAUGUCCAUCACCUCACAUGGUUAACUUUGUGUGUGUGUGUGUGUGUGUGUGUGUGUGUGCGUGGCGAAAAUGUUGAGGAUUUACUCUCAGCAAGUUUCAUACUGUGUCAUUCACUAUAGCCACCAUGCUCUACAGUAGAUCCUCAGAACAUAUUCUUCAUAUAACUGAAAAUCUGUAGCCUUUCUAAAUAUCCUUAAUUUCUGUUUAAAAAUCUACUAUAGAUGUAUCACUCUCAUAAUUAUGCUUCUUUCAACUAUUUAGAAUAUUCCCUUUAUUUAAAUAGUAAUUCCGCUUUAUUUGGAAUAGUAAUUCCACUUUUUUAAAUGUGUUAAAUGGUGAAGUAACAUUUAGUGAACUCCCAUUAAACAUCUGGGACUAGAAAUAAUACUAUCUCAUUUAAUUCCCCAAACCAGUUAUAAUUCUCUUUAUUCUAUAAAUGAAGAGAUUGAGAUUCAGGGAAGUAACUUGCCCCGAGUCAUACAGCAGAUAAGUGUUGGAGCUGGGAUUUUCACUCAAACCUGUCUUACUCUGACAUCUAUGUUCUUUUAUUAAACCAUGCAAUCUCCUGCGGAAAAUAGUUUUAUUUUUAUCAUGGUCCUAUUAAAAGACCUGUUUUAUAAUUUUAAAUAUUGUCUCUCGCUCUAUAAAGCAAGAACCUAGACAGUAACACUUUAGUGGAAAGUCCUUGUUUAAGGUUGUUCUAUGGCAAUGUCUCUCUCCUGUGAUGAUUUAAGUUUCCCCCUCCCCCGCCCCAAUUCUGUGUCUUCCUUUUGAUCCAGUGAUUAUAACUGGAUGCAGUAUUCCAGGUACAGAUGUUCUCUAGUUUUGCAACACAGGAUAUGUGUUGGUCUCCUCUGUAUAUGAAAUAGUCAACAAUAACUUUCAAAUCCUCAUUCUGGAGUUUGAUGGAUAUUUCAGAGCCAGUCAUUCAAAUGUGGUUUAGAUUAAUUUUUCCUAAAUGCAUAUGAACCAUUUAGAGUGUAAAGGAAGUUGAGCAAUUUUAUAAAACCUGCACCAUAGUAUUCAUCUGCCAAGUGGCUUAGUCAUGUUAAAUAGAUACUUUUGUACUAAACUGAACUGUGAUUUUUAACUUAGUUGUUAAGACAGUACACGUAAACACAUUUAUAAAAGCAAACAAAAAGACGAUGUUUACAGUAUCACAACAUUUCAUCAAUUCAUAUAUUUAUACAGUAAGCAUUCUUAAUUCUACAGAAAUACUUUUUGUGAGCCAAACAAAUCUGGAGUCACAUAGCAUUAGAAGAGCACAAUUCUGUUCCUGUUUGUGAGAAAAUAUUAAAGUAGAACACUGAGUUUGCUGGUCAGUGACAACGUUAAGGUCUUCCCUUGAAAAUUUUCCCUCUUUUUUUUGAUGCAAGAUCCAGUUAUCAUUUACUCUUUAGUGUAGCAAAAAACUAGAUUCAACUAAAGAGUUAGAGGGGGAAAUUGAUGUCUAGGUAGAUAUUUAAUCAGCUGAAUCAAAUCCUUUGCACAGCUAUAUCUGCAUUAGAUGAUAAUAAAACAGCCUCCAAAUGUUAUUAAAAUCAGAAAGCUAAAGUUUUUAAGGUGAACAUAUUUCUUGCUUUUAGAAUGCUUCACUGGUAUAUGGAUAUGUAUUCUUUUUCUUUUUCUUUUUUUAAUGUUCAGCCAUUUAGUUUGAGAGAGAGAGAGAAAGCAGGAGCCAAGGAGGGACAGAGAGAGGGAGAUCAAUACCUGAGCUGAAGUCUGAAGCUUAACUGACUAAGCCACCCAGGCACCCCUGUAUUCUAUUCUUAUAUAUUAAUAAUUAAUCUAGAUUUUUAUUUAUUUUAUUUUUUUUAACGUUUAUUUAUUUUUGAAACAGAAAGAGACAGAGCAUGAACUGGGGAGGGUCAGAGAGAGAGGGAGACACAGAAUCUGAAACAGGCUCCAGGCUCUGAGCGGUCGGCACAGAGCCCGACCAGGGCUCGAACUCACGGACCGCGAGACCAUGACCUAGGCCGAAGUCGGACGCUUAACUGACUGAGCCACCCAGGCACCCCUAAUUAAUCUAGAUUUUUAAGAUGGAUUUAAAAAAUUAUAGACUUUUUCUUAUCUCACUUUUUAAGAUAUCCUAAGGGUCUAACCCAAAAUAUGAGCACAAGGGAUCUACACAGUUAUAGGACUGCAUUCAAUUAAAAUAUUAGGAAAAGUACUGAUUUUCACAAUGACAGCUUGUAUUAUUUAGAAUUUUAUAGCUUACAAAACAGUUUCACAAACUGUUAAAUCAUUUGAUCUUUAAAAAACUGGCUUAUGAAUUAAGUGGGGGUAGGGAUAUCUUCUAUUUUCUGAUUGAGAAAACAGAUUCGUCAUACUCAAAUUAUCCAAAGGUACAAACCCCAUAGAAACAAGCCCUAAAAAUGAAGAAUCUUCUAAUUCUUAGUUCUCCAACACACAUUAUUACUUGACUUACAUAUAUAGUUUCCAUGAUAACGUAUUCUUUUUCUUUUUCAGUUCUGGUGGUAAUGUUAUUUUAUUUUGGCAACACAAAAACAGGCAUAAAAUACGUAUAGGUUUGAUUGCUCAGUGCUGUAUUAACUUCAACCAGUUUGUACCCAAAUAUACUUUCUACUAUCUCUAGAAGAACAAAUGCAGCUUUUUAUAUGUUGAAGUCAUUCCUUGUAAACAUCCUUCCCAUGUUUUUUUUAUUAUAUAAGGAUAGCCAAAACAUGGCAGAUAACAUAUUAUAUAACAUAAAAUAUAAACAAUAUAUAAAAUAUGUUAGACAUAUAUGAGUUUUUCUCCUGUUAGUGACAGCCUUAAUAAUAGAACCAACAGGGGCGCCUGGGUGGCUCAGUCGGUUGAGCGUCCGACUUCAGCUCAGGUCACGAUCUCACGGUCUGUGAGUUCAGGCCCCGCGUCAGGCUCUGGGCUGAUGGCUCAGAGCCUGGAGCCUGUUUCCGAUUCUGUGUCUCUCUCUCUGACCCUCCCCUGUUCAUGCUCUGUCUCUCUCUGUCUCAAAAAUAAAUAAAUGUUAAAAAAAAUUAAAAAAAAGAAUAAUAGAACCAACAAAAUUAAGUUCCUGUACUUAUGUUUUGUUUAAUUGCUCAUUUAUCUCUUAUACUUUGUCAUGAGUCUUCCCAAUUAGUCUGUGAGGCAUCAGUGGUAUUUAUUCUUCUCCUUCCAUUUUUGCCACUAUCAAAAUUGCCCAAACCCAUAUCAACUUAUGCCUGGAUAUCUGCAAUAAACCAGCUAGCUGAGGUCCCAGAAUUCAAGUUAAAUGGCCAUAUCCACCAACCAUCCUCCACCCCAAUGUUUUUUUGCAUAUCACUGACAAAUAAAGAUAAUGGUCUUCCCCAAUACUGCAGUUACAUCUAAUUUUUGAAAUUGUUUCCAAGUUUACUUAUUUUUUUUUAAAUUUCAAGUGAUUUAUUCCUUAAACAUUUACCAACUAUUUUAAAAGUUAUGUACCAAAUAUUUUUAUUUUUUCAUUGUAUUUGAUUUUAUUUAAAUUCAAGUCAGUUAACAUACAGGGCAGUACUGGUUUCAGGAGUAGAACCCAGUGACUCAUCACUUAUAUAUAACACCCACUGCUAAUCCCAACAGGUGCCCUCUUCAAUGCCCAUCACCCAUUUAUCCCACCCACUGCCCACCUCCCCUCCAACAACCCUCGGUUUGUUCUCUGUAUUUAAGGGUCUCUUCUGGUUUGCCUCCCUCUCUGCUUUUAUCUUGUUUUUUUUUUCUUCCCUUCCCUUGUGUUCAUCUGUUUUAUUUCUUAAAUUCCACAUAUGAGUAAAAUCACAUGAUAUUUAUGUCUUACUCUGAAUGACUUAUUUCGCUUACAUUAUGUGCUCUAGUUCCAUCCACAUUGUUGCCAAUUCCAAGAUUUCAUUCUUUUUUAUUUGAUUCUUUUUGAUACGGAUUUGGGCAAGAUUUCAUUCUUUUUUGAUAUUCAAUUGUAUACCACAUCUUCUUUAUCCAUUCCUCAGUUGAUGGACAUUGGGCUCUUUCCAUAAUUUGGUCAUUGUUGAUAGUGCUGCUAUAACAUUGGGAUGCAAGUGCCCCUUUGAAUCAGCAUUUUUGUAUCCUUUGGGUAAAUACCUAGUAGUGCAAUUGCUGGGGCCUAGGGUAGUUCUAACUUUAAGUUUUUGAGGAACUUCCAUACUGUUCUCCACAGUGACUGCACCAGUCUGCAUUCCCAUCAACAGUGCAAAAGUGUUCCCCUUUUUUUGUAUCUUCACCAACAUCUGUUGUUUCCUGAGUUGUUCAUUUUAGCCAUUCUGACAGGAGUGAGGUGGUAUCUCACUGUGGUUUUAAUUUAUAUUUGUCUGAUGAUGAGUGACAUUGAGCAUCUUUUCAUGUGUCAUUAGCCAUCAGGAUGUCCUCAUUGGAAAAGUGUCUAGUUCAUGUUUUCUGUCAAUUUCUUCACUGGAUUAUUUGUUUUUUUGGGUAUUGAGUUUGAUAAGUUCUUUAUAGAUUUUGGAUAUGUAAUUUGCAAAUAUCUUCUCACAUGCCAUCAGUUGCUUUUUAGUUUUGUUGAUUGUUUAUUUUGAUGAGGUCUCAAAAGUUUAGUUUUGCUUUUGCUUGACUCUGGAGUCAUGUCUAGUAGGAAGUUGCUGUGACCUAGGUCAAAGAAGUUGCUGUGUGUUUUCUCCUUUAGGAUUUUGAUGGUUUCCUAUCUUACAUUUAGGUCUUUCACUGAUUUUGAAUUUAGUUUUGUGUGUGGUGUAAGAAACUGAUCCAGGUUCAUUCUUCUGCAUGUCACUGUCCAGUUUUCCCAACACCAUUUGCUGAAGGGAGUGUCUUUUUUUUUCCAUUGGAUAUUAUUUCUUGUUUUGUUGAAGAUUGUUUGGUCAUACAUUUGCAGGUCCAUUUCUAGGUUUUCUAUUCUGUUCCAUUAAUCUAUGUUGUUUGUUUUUGUGUCAGUACCAUACUGUCUUGAUGAUUACAACUUUGUAAUAUAGCUUGAAGUCUGGAAUUGUGAUGCCUCUAGCUUUGGUUUUCUUUUUCAACAUUGCUUUGGCUAUUCAGGGUCUUUUCUGGCUCCAAAGAAUUUUUAUAAUUUUUGUUAUAGCUUUGAGAAGAAUGCUGGUGUUAUUUUGAUAGGGGUUGCUUUGAAUAUAUAGAUUUCUUUGGGUAGUAUCCAUAUUUAACAAUAUUUGUUCUUCCAAUCCAUGAGGAUGGAAUGUUUUCCCAUUUCUUUUUGUCUUCCUUAAUUUCUUUCAAAAGCUUUCUAUACUUUUCAGCAUAGACAUCUUUUACCUCUUUGGCUAGGUUUAUUCCUAGGUAUCUUGUGGUUUUUGGUGUAAUUAUAAAUGGUAUUGAUUCCUUGAUUUCUCUUUAUGCUGCUUCAUUAUUGGUGUAUAGAAAUAUGAGUGAUUUCUGUACAUUGAUUUUAUAUCCUGCAACUUUGCUGAAUUCAUGUAUCAGUUCUAGCAGUUUUUUGGUGGGGUCUUUUGGGAUUUCCAGGUAGAGUUUCAUGUUAAUUGUGAAGAGUGAAAGUUUGACUUCUUCUUUGCCAAUUUGUAUGCCUUUUAUUUCUCUUUGUGGUUUCAUGGCUAAGGCUAGGACUUCUAAUAGUAUUUUGAAUGACACUGGUGAAAUUUGACGUCCCUUUUGUGUUCCUGACCUUGGGGUGAAAGCUCUCAGUUUUUCCCCAUUGAUGAUGAUAUUAUCUAUGGGUCUCUCAUAUAUGGCCUUCGUGAUGUUGAGGUAUGCUCCUUCUAUCCCUACUUACUUGAGGGUUUUUAUCAAUUAAGGAUACUAUAUUUUGUCAAAUGCUUUUUAUGCAUCUGUUGAGAGGAUCGUGUUGUUCUUAUUCUUUUAAUAAUGUUAUGUAUCACAUUGAUUGAUUUGUGGAUAUUGAACCAUGCCUGGCAGCCCAGGAAUAAAUCCCACUUGAUCAUGGUGAAUAAUUUUUUUAAUGUAUUGUUGGAUUUGAUUUGCUAGUAUCUUGUUGGGUAUUUUUGCAUCCAUGUUCAUCAGCGAAAUUGGUCUGUAGUGCUCCAUUUAAGUGGGGUCUUUGUCUGGUUUUGGAAUCAAGGUAAUGCUGGCCUCAUAGAAGGAGUUUGGAAGUUAUCCUUCCAUUUCUAUUUUUUGGAACAGCAUCAAAGGAAUAGUUAUUAAUUCUUCUUUAAAUGUUUGGUAGAAUUCUCCUGGGAAGCCAUUUGCCCCUGGAUUCUUGUUUUUUGGAAGAUUUUUGAUUACUGUUUCAGUUUCUUUACUGGGUUUGGGUUUGUUCAAAUUUUCUAUUUCUUUCUGUUUCCAUUUGUUAGUUCAUUUGUUUCUAGGAAUUUAUCCAUUUCUUCCAGAUUGCCCAAUUUGUUGGCAUAUAAUUGCUCAUAAUAUUCUCUUAUUAUUGUUUUAAUUUUUCCAGUGUUGGUUGUGAUCUUUCACCUUCCAUUGUUGAUUUUAUUUAUUUGGGUCCAUUCUUUUUUCUUUUUGAUAAAUCUGUCUAGGAGUUUAUCAGUUUUUUUAUUCUUUCAAAGAACUAGCUCCUAGUUUCAUUGAUCUGAUCUACUGUUUUUUUCUAAUUUUGGUAUCAUUGAUUUCUUCUCUAAACUUUAUUAUUUCCCUUCUUCUGGUUUUGGGCUUUUUUGCUGUUCUUUCUCCAGCUGUUUUGGGUGUACAGUUAGGUUGUGCAUUUGAGACAUUUCUUCCUUCUUUAGGAAGGCCUGGAUUGCUAUAUACUUACCUCAUAUGACUGACCUUGUUGCAUCCCAAAGGGUUUGUACUGUCAUGUUUUCAUUUUCAUUGGCUUCUGUGUACCUUUUAAUUUCCUCUUUAAUUUCUUGGUUAACUGGUUAUUCUUUAGUAGGAUGUUCUUUAACCUCAAGUAUUUGUUGUUUCCCCAAAUUUUUUCUUGUGGUUGUUUUUAAGUUUCAUAGCAUUGUGUUCUAAAUAUAUGCAUGAAAUGAUCUCAAUCCUUUUGUACUUGUUGAGUGCUGAUUUGUGACAAAGUAUGUGAUCUAAUCUGGAGAAUGUUAAAUGUGCACUCAAGUAGAAUGUGUAUUCUGAUGCUUUAGGAUGAAAUGUUCUGAAUAUAUCUGUUAAGUCAAUCUGGUCCAGUUUGUCAUUCAAAGCCAUUGUUUCCUUGUUGGUUUUCUGCUUUGAUGACCUGUCCAUUGCUAUAAAUGAGGUGUUAAAGUCCCCUACUAUUAUUAUAUUAUUAUCAAUAAGUUUCUUUAUGUUUAUUAGUAUUUUAUUUAUAUAUUUCUGUGCUUCCAAUUUAGGGGCAUACAUAUUUAUAAUUAUUAGAUCUUUGUGGUUGAUAGACCCCUUAAUUAUUUUUUUUGAAUUGUAUACUUUUUAUUCUUUUUUUUUCAAUAUAUGAAAUUUAUUGUCAAAUUGGUUUCCAUACAACACCCAGUGCUCAUCCCAAAAAGACCCCUUAAUUAUAAUAUGAUGUCCUUCAUCUCUUAUCACAGUCUUUCUUCUAAGUCUAGUUUGUCUGAUAUAAGUAUGGCUACUCCAGCUUUCCUUUGACAUCCAUGUGCAUGAUAAAUGAUUCUCCAUCCCCUCACUUUCAAUCUGCAGGUGUCUUUAGAUCUAAAAUGAGUCUCUUGUAUGCAGCAUAUAGAUAGAUUUUAUUUUUUAUCUACUCUGAUACCCAGUAGUUUUUGAUUGGAGCAUUUAGUCCAUUUACAUUCAGAUAGAUUAUUGAAAGAUAUGAAUUUAGUGCCAUUUUGUUACUCAUAGCAUUGGUUUUCUGGUCAUGUUCUCUGGUUCUUUUUUGUACCCGUUGCUUUUGGUUGUUUUGUUUUGUUUUGUUUUCUCCACUCAAAGAGUCCCUCUUAAAAAUUCUUGCAGGGCUGGUUUGGUGGUAUGAACUCCUUUAGUUUUUGUUUGUCUGGGAAACUCUUUAUCUCUUCAUCUAUUUUGAAUGACGGCCUUGCUGGAUAAGGAAUUCUUGGUUGCAUAUUUUUCACAUUCAGCAUGUUAAAUAUAUUCUGCCCCUCCUUUCUUGCUUGCUGUGUUUCUGUUGACAGAUCUGCUGCAAACCUUAUCUAUCUUCCCUUGUAGUUUAAGGACGUUUUUUCUCUUGCUGCUAUCAUGAUUCUUUCCUUGUCUGUGUUUUGUGACUUUUACUAUGAUAUGCCUUGGUGAUGGGCAGCUUUUGUUGAAUCUAAUGGGAAUUCUCUGUUCUUGGAUUUUGAUGUCUUAUCCUUCCCUCUAUUAGGGAAGUUUUCAGCUAUAAUAUGAUCAUAUAAACCUUCUACCUUUCUAUCUCUUUUUAUCUUUUGGUGCUCCUAUGAUAUGAAUGUUAUUCCCCUUAAAAAGUCACUGAGUUUUCUAAUUCUACCCUUGUGAUCCAUUACCUUUGUUUCCCUCUUCUUUUCAGCUUCAUUAUUUUCCAUAAUUUUAUGUUCUAUAUCACUAAUUCGUUCCUCUGCUUCAUCCAUCCUCACUGUCAUGGCAGCCAUUUGAGAUUGCAUCUCAAUUACAUUUUUAAUUUUGGCCUGACUAGAUUUUAAUUCUUUUAUCUUUGCAGAAAGAGAUUCUCUGGUGUGUCUAUGCUUUUUUCAUCCCCAGCUAGUAUUCUUAUACUCUUGGUUAAAAUUCUAGUUCAGACAUUUUGCUUAUAUCUGUGUUGAUUAAAUCCAUGGCCGUCAUUUCUCCCUGUUCUUUCUUUUGGGGAUAAUUCCUCUGUCUUGUCAUUUUGGAAGAAGAAAAAAUUAAUAAAAUAAAAUUAAAAAUUAAAAUUAAAAAUUAAAAACAAAACAAAACCAAAUAAAGGAAUCUAGUUCCUAGGUGUGCUUCAGUUUGCUUGUAAAGAGAAGCUUGACAAAAAAAAAGAGAAGAAAAUAUUUAAAAAUUAUUGUAAAUAAUAAAAUAGAAUUAAAAACAAAAUAAGAAAAAUUAAAUAGAAUAAAAAACUUUCUCUCUGUAUCCAAGAAGGAAAGAAAAAGGAAAGAAAUAAAGAAAAAAGAAAACAAAUAAAAACAGAAACAAAGAAAAUGAACAAAUGAAUAAGCAAACAAAAUGAAACCUGAAUGAAGCUAGUUCCAUUUACUUUAAAACUGAAAUUUUGCAGCACACUAUGGUCCAUAGACUAAGCAGGUAGAAAGGAUUUGUGCUGGUCUUCUGGGGAAUGUGCCUGAAAGGUGCUAGUGGGCAGGGCUUGGUGUAAAAGCUCUGUUCCCUAUUUGGUGGCACUGCUUAGCUCACUGGGGUUGAUUGAUGUGGGUGUGCUAGAGGUGAAAAUGGCUUCACUUCCACUCUCUAGUCUCUAGUGUGGGAAUUUUAUGCCCUCACAGACACAAUCAAUCAACCCCCCACCUUUUGUCUCAGGCUUCAUUGCUCCCUUCCUCUACCCUAUGUUUUUACAAGCUGUCUCUAUACCUGCUAGGAAAUGCCUCCCUCAAGAGUUUUAUCUCUGAUGGAGCUGUUUUUCAAAACCUCACACUUCAGAGACCUCAGAGGCUUGGGCCUGUGUUAAUUCUCUGGGGGAGGGUCUCCCCAAGCAAUGGCCAGGUACAGACUUGUCCCAGAAAACGUUGGUGUGAUUGAGCAGAGGCUCAAAGUAUAUAGUGAAUCACAACACAUAGCCAGCGCCAGGUUUUGCUGCACUCAGCUGGCAUCUUUGUCCCAAUAUCAGUAAACAUGGCAGCUCUCUGGUGUUGGUGGGACUUUUGCCCAAGGGAAAGCCAUAUCGCCUGUACCAAAUUUAGUCCAACAGAGGAACUGCUUCUCCCUGUAUGUCACUCAGACCCCCAAGACUGCACUGCCUGCUCCCUGCUUCCUUGCCAAGCACCAUCAGGCACUGAGUUCUGAAAUGUCAAACUCUGUAUUCCACUGUUUAUAGAAAACUGGUGGUAUAGAAACCCUGUCCUUUUUCCUUGUCAAUGAUUUUAUGGAACAGAUUUCUUGUCCAGUCCCCUGCAAAUGUUUUCACUCUUUCUCUCUCUCUGUAUCUCCAGCUACUUUCAGGAGAAGUGCCUUUCUUGCACAAUCCUGAUGUCCUGCACACUAUCCUUCUUUCUCUUUCUCUCUCUGUCUCUCUGUGAAAAGGGCUCCCUAUCAUCCAGGACACCAUGGCUUUUCUCUUCCCCAAUUCACCUCUCUGCAUGGCAUACCUUCCAAUUUCUCUUCCUCAAGUUAUGCAGAUUGCUGCAUUAAUCUUCAUAUCAUUUUCUUAGGUGUUCAAAAUUGUUUGAUGCUGAUCUAGCUGUGUUUUAAGGAUGAGACAAGAUCAGAGUCCCCAUACUACUCUGCACUAAUGUGUUUUUCUGCUGUUUUGUUCCUUAUUUUCUUUUUUAAAAAAAUUUUUAAUGUUUAUUUCUGAGAGAGAGAGAGAGAGAGAGAGAGAGAGAGAUGAAGCAUGAGUGGGGAAGGGGCAGAGAGAGAGAGAGGGGGAGACACAGAAUCUGAAGCAGGCUCCAGGCUCUGAGCUGUCAGCACAGAGCCUGAUGCAGGGCUCGAACUCACGAACCAUGAGAUCAUGACCUGAGCCAAAGUCAGAUGCUUAACUGACUGAGCGCCCCCCCACCACCUUAUUUUCGAUAAGAACAAAAAUUAAAGGGUAAAUUCAUAGAGUGGCAAAAAUCCUAACUGAUUAGAAUUUGUUACUCUGAUUUCAGACAGAACCAAAUUCAAGGAAUUCAAGGUUAAUGAAGGGUUUCUUUUCUAUUUUUCACCACAUCCCAUAUAUUAGCUCAAUUCAAAUAUUGAGUACAUUUCUCAUGGUCAUGAAAUUAUUUCUUUCACCAAACCUCCCAUUUCACAUGCUGAAAAUUUAACCCUUUGUUUUUCAAGUGUUGGGGAGAAACAAUUUUUUCUACCCUUCAAGGGGCUUCCAACUGGUCUAAGAAUCAAAUUAACAGAGACAGAUUAACAGAAGGAAAUAAAAUUUAAUUAUAUAUGUACAGGGAAUCCACAUAGACAUGAGAUUCUAAUGACAGGCAAAAUAUGGUAUAUGUCAUUCUGAACUAAGGAGUAAGAAGAAGUGGUCUGGGACUUCAAAGAGAAGGAAGGCAAUUCAAAGGAAGAUGAAAAGGAGUAAAUGUUUAGUCCAUCAUUUCCUCACCAUUUCUGAUUACACCCAGUUAACUCAAUAAAUGUGUACAAGUUUUUGGGUCUAGAGGUAGCAUUUGGAGUAAGUCAGCUGAUGAAAGUCAGCUGAAGUCUCUGAGACAGCUCUACACAACAGACCAUAAACUAGCCCAGAGUAGAUGAAGAUGGUGUACCUCUGGGAACCUCUCAUUUGAGUAUUGUUCUUCUCUAACCUUUCUGAAGGCCUUGCCUGAAGAUGUGUAAAAUUAUUAACCCUUAAUUUGCUUCCUUAGCAAGGACUCUUCUUUCUUCCCCAUUAUGUCUCAGGAGGAAUAGGUGACUGGAAUAAAGCUGGUUUGAGUUUUUAAUAUUAUUUGGUGAGCCUGUGUCUGUAUAUGAGUCCACUUAUUGUAUUUUAUAUCCCCUUGAAACUAGAAAAUUAGUGAUUCGUCAGAUUAAUAUCCCCAUUGGAGUGUGAUUGUUCUUAUGAAAGUCAUCACCAGACUGUCUUCCUGCCAAAUCUGCAGAAUUAUCUUCUCUGUUCUCAUUCUCCUUGAUCUCUCUGUUGUAUUUGACACUAAUAACAAAUUACCCCAUGAAAUAUUUUUUCCCUUUGGUCUUUACACAGUACUUAUUUUACUCCUGUUUCUCCAACCACUGUGGGAAAAAAUAGAAGAAAAAGCAAGGGAGUGAAAGAAAGCUCAAAAGAGAGAGAAAAGAGACAAAGAAGAGACCAAAGAAGAGGAAGAGGGAGAGGACAUGAAAGUAGAGAAGAAGGAAAGGGGUUUAUUCAUGAUAAAGAUUAUCACAUCAUAAUACCACCUUCAACAUUUGCCUCAUGUGUUUCUCAGUAGCAACCAAGAUUUAUGUUGCAUAGGUUUAGGCAAAUAAAUGCAAGCUACCAUUUCAGCACUUACUAUGUGCCUGCUACUGAGAAGAGAAUUAACAUAUUGUUUAAUCCUUACAACAUACUUCAAAGAAGGUAACACUAUUUCUAUCUCAAAUGUGAAGAAAAUUGAAACAGAAAGAUGAGGUAAAUUGCUCAUAUGCCUACAUUUACUAAGUGAGAAAGCCAAGGUUUGGCCCUAGUUUUAUCUAUCUCCAAAACUGAUGCUCUAUUAUUUAUAUUAUACUGUCUAAAGCAUCCAGGAACUUAUUAUGAAUCUUAAACAUUAAAAAAAUUAAGUUUAUUUAUUUAUUUUGAGAGAAAGAGAGAGUGCACAGAGGAGGGGCAGAGAGAGAGGGAGAGAGAGAAUCCCAAGCAGGUUCCAUGCUAUCAGCACAGAGCCUGAUAUGGGGCUCAAUCCCAUGAAUCAUGAGAUCAUGACCUGAGCCAAAAUCAAGAGUUGAACACUUAACUGACUGAGCCACCCAGGCGCCCCUGAAUUUUAAACAUUUAAAAGAGGGAAUGUUUCAAUGGUUUACUUACAUUUCUAGAGAUGUAAAAUUAAAAAAUAAAUUCAUAGCGUGCCUGGGUGGCUCAGUUGGUUAAGCGUUCAACUCUUGAUUUUGGCUUAGGUCCUGAUCUCACAACUGCCUCGGGCUCUGUGCUGACAGUGAGGAGCCUGCUUACGAUUCUCUCCCUCUGCACCUCCCCCGCAUGAACUCAGUCUCUCCCUCUCUCUCUCUCUCUCUCAAAAUAAAUAAAUAAAACAUUAAAAAAAAUAAACCAUUGUCUGACUUUCUAUUUUGGAAACUACUAAUUUGUCAUGUGGUUUGAUCUGUACCUUAGAUCACUUUAAAUCUCUAGUGAGAAGUCUCCUUAGAUCACACCUUAUUGUUUAAGAUCAUUUUUUUCCAGAUGGUACAAAAUAGCAAACUCUGGUUCUUCACUAUAAUUAAUUAGGGAUUCCAGGGCACAAUGGGGCAUUUUACUUCAAAAAAAAAUUUGUAUUGAAACAGCUGCCUCUUUUAUUACCAGGAGAUCUGUACCCUUUCAGCUGCCAGUGCUGACAUUUGUUUCCCCAUUUCUCUACAAAAUUAGCAUCUCUAAGAAUUCUAAAGGGUCUGUUCAUGAUUAACUUGCAGUUGUAUUUUAAUAGAACAUUUUGUGCAUUUCAUAUCAUAAAAAAAUUAUCUAAAACUGAAAGGCUGAUAAAUUCCAGGACUUCAUUUUGGUCAAUGAUUCAAACUUUUGGAGGAAAAAAAAGAGAAUUUCUCCUUUUUUGUGUGUGUGGCCAAGUCAAAGUUAAGAAGUAAGACUUGGAAAUCUAUAAUAUUUAUUAAUGUAAAAAUGUAUAAAAACAAACAAUAGCUGUGAAUAAAGAAGAAAGCUAGCAAAGCUAUGAAGCAUAGGUCUCUUCCUUAUGAAAGUCUAUCCUGUAUACAUUUGUCAGUAUGAAUUCUAAAGGCAGAAUCCUAAAGAUGUCCUUUACCUGAUAUCCCCAUGAACAGUACUGUUAAUAAGGGACUUUGCUAAUGUAAUUAAGGUUGCUAAUCAGCUGAAUUUAAAAUGGGAAUAAUAUCAUGAAUCUUAGAAUAUACAGAUGGACCCUUAAAAGCAGAAGAAAAAGACAAAAAUUCAGUCAGAAAUAUGGGGCAGAAGUUGAAGUCAGAGAAGAUUUGAAGUGUAGGAAAGACUUGACCUACCGUUGCUGGAGGACAGCCAUAUGGAAAGCAAUAGAAAAUCCUUAUUCAGCAAGUAAAUAACUAGGUUUGACCUGCAUUGAUUUCUUGUCAUUCAGCAUUCACCUUUGUGUAUAUGUACAAAUACUAACUAGAAAACCUUUAAGAAAACAUCCUAAUCUUAGAGUCCUGGAAAUACUAUAACAUAAAGAUGCAUGCCAAAAAGAAAAAAAAAAGUUCAUCCAAUCCUAGGUGAUACUGUGAUUCAGCACAAUGUCUUCCCAGUUCCCUUCCAAUUUUUGUUUUUCCAGUCCUUAUUUCGGUAACCCUAUUUUUGCUUUUUGCUUUUUGUCUCAAUUUAGGGCUUCCGAAUCCUUAUGCUGCAGCUUGGUAAGAAAUCUGUCACUAAAGUUGUUCUGAAUUUUUUUUUUUUUUGCUUAUAUAGUUGCUCAUGGUAUCACAUGUUUCUUAUUAAUAAUCCUUAAAUAAAACUAUUUUUCCUUGCCUAAUCCCCCCUUCCUGUUAAAUGACAACAAAUAUAUUCAUUUUUGUGGGCACCUUUAAAAGAGGGGUUGCAUCUCAUUUACUUUUAUGAAUAAAUAUUUGUUGAAUUUUAAAAAGUAUAAUGUCUGAUAAUGCCUUAAUGGAUUACCUUACCAGGAUUAUUUUAUUUUAACCAGUCAGAAUGUCAAUACUGUAUUUGUUGCAUAGUUCCCAUUUUUUAAACAAGUUAAGAUUUCAAAAGAAAUUAAGUAGAAGGGAAUCCUAGAAGAAAUGAAGGAAAUGCUUUUCAGUAAAAUUGCAGUGAUAGCACCAAAGUUCUCCAUAUUUCCACUGGGAAGGCUAGAAGAUAUAAAAACAGGGUGGAAACCUGCCAAUUGAUGUACCACAAACUUUGAGGAUUUCCUGUUAGCUUAAAUAAGAAGAGGCCAAGUGAAGGAAAGAUUAGAGCCCUGAACAGAAAAAUGCCUCCUGUGAAAAAAUAAUGUCUGAGAAGUAAAUUGAGGUAACUUGAAUAGUGCUUCUUGAAGUUUAAAGGAGGCUGAAUUAAUUGCUAGAGAGGGCCAAAGUACUUUAAAGGGCAUAUCACAUUAAUACUGCCUGACCUCUGUUCAUGCACAGCAUCUACACCUAUAAUUAGACCUGUGGAGAAGUGAGAGUAACUUAACUGACAGUGAAGGCUACUAGAAGCCAAAGGUCAAUGCUACAGGCAGCUCACUAAGAAGGAAGCUGAGGAUUGCCAUUGUUCUUGGUACAGGGAAACUGAUUAUUGUGGGCUUGCUUCUAGGCUUGUUUGCACUAUUUGCUCUCACAAAUGAAGAAAUAACACAGUGGCAAAGUUUCCUACUUGGUCUAUUUAGAACUCUGAAUCCUUUCUCAAUCCCUCUAGACUAUGAAGUCACUAACAAUAUAAAUUUACGAUAAAUUAUAAAAUGUCCCCCUUCUUUGCAUCUUGAUCUCAAAGAUUCAUGCAAAGAUCUAUGCCAAUUUCUUAUAGAACCUAUCUCUACUUAACUAUGGCAAAGUAAUGAGCAACCAUAGAUACUCUGAUAUGAGAAUUUUUAAAAAGGGAGAACAAUCACCCAAUGUGUGAAGAUAUACUUCAAUUCAAACAAAGGAAAUUAUCAAGAAUCAGAAGAGAUACCUCACUGGAAACACAGGUAUUCUAAGUAACAGAAGAAUACUAGGGAGGUUUUAUGAUAUUUUUCAACAAGAUUUAAGAAUAUGAUUGGUCCAAAAAUCAAACAAUGCUAGAGCAAGUAAUCAUGAGAGAUGAAUUGGAGUUAAAUACACACACAGAUUUUUUUAUUGUAAGAUUAUUAAACUUAAAACUUUAAUGAAACUGCCAUAUAAAGAGGUAAUAAUUGAAUUUUAAAAGUAGCACACAGAUUCAAGAAAUUCAUCCGGAACUCUGAAGAAAUGGCAAAUUGGUGAAAAAGAGUAAGAAAAAAUAUGGCAGAUGUUGUGGACAAAUUCAAGGAAUCCAAUACACACAAAAUAGAAAUUUUAGAAGAAGAGAAUAGACAUGAUGUAACAGAAGCAAAAAUCAAAGAACAGUGGAGAGAAAAUUUCCUGAGCUGAACUAAUAUUUGACACUUUUGUUUAAAAGAGAUGACUAGGAGUGCCUGGAUGGCAGUUAAGUGUCCGAUUUCUGCUCAGGUCAUAAUCUCGUGGUUUGUGAGUUCAAGCCCUUGCUUGAGAUUCUCCCUUUCCCCCCUCUUCCCCUACUUGUGUGCACACGCUCUCUCACUCUCUCUCUCUUUCUCUCUCUCUCUCAAAAAUAGACAUUAAAAAGAAUAAGAGAUGGCCUAAUAGUCAAAUUUAUUGUGGGAUGGGAGGAGAGAAAAGAAAGGGGGACAGAGAGGUAAAACAGACUGAACACCUAGAAAUAUUUUGAAUCUCUAGAAAAAUUUUGAAUUUCUAAAGGCAUUGAUCACACUAAGCCAGAAAAAUAAAUAAAAUUUAAAAAUAAAUGUUAAUGUUCAAUACUCAAGAGCUGUAAUGCACCAAGUGAAAUAUAAUUUUAAAUUUAUUUUUAAAUAAGUGGAACUAUAAGAAAAAUCAAGAAAACCACCAUAUUUAUAGAAAGGCAUUUUAAAUUGCCCUGCAACUAUUUUACAGAUCACAUAAACAGAAUAAAUUAAAAAAUAAUAAGUUGGGGUAUAGAGGAAUUCAAUGUUAUAAUUAAUACGUGGUCUUGUCAAAAAGAUGGCCCAGAAGCCAUUUUUCUAGAAUUCAAAUGAAGUGAAAGAAAAACAAAAUAGUAGAGGAGAUGCCUCACAUCCAAGGAGCCAACUACAACACAAACUCUGAGAGAUCUCUGUGAAAUAUCUUGAAGUGGGAAGAGACUGAAGGACCUCAUAAAGGGCCAGAUCACAAUUAUGAUUUGAUAGUGUCAAUAAUAGAGUCUGAGUUGGGGAAUGGCGAGCCAUUGGAAAUCUGGAUACCACUCACUAGAUACCACACUAUGCUCUAGAUACACUCUACACAACAACCAAUGGUAGCAGUGCUAGACUUGGUAGAGAGAGUAUACAUCAAGCAUAAAGCAGAGGGAGUUUUGUCUGAGCUGAAUUUAUUCACUCAUUCAUUGUUCAUUUAGUGAAUAAUUAUUGAAUAUCAGUGUUUACUGGACAUUGUGCUAGAUGAUGGGGGCAAAGCAGUGAAAAAGACAGAUAAAAUCCUUUAUGAUUUUUAUUUAUUUGGCUGGGGAAACAAACAGGUAAACAAAUAUAGAAAUAAGAUAAUUUUUACAAGUUACAUGUGCUACAAAAGAAACAAGUCAAGGCAAUGUGAUUCAGUGUGUAGUUGUUGGGGGUAGAGUUACUUAAAUUGAGUGUUCAAAGAAUGAUUUCCUCUCUGAAGAGGUGGCAUUUAAACUGAGACUUGAACAUUUACAGUGAAACAUUUAAACUGAGACUUUAAAAUGAGCUAUAGAAAAGCAGAAGAAAAGAUGUUUUCAGCUGAAGCAGCAACAAAGACUUGGGCAAGGGAGGGUUGUACCCUUUAUACAGACGGGAAAAAAACACAAAACUAAAUGUUGUAAAGAUAUCAAUUAUUCUCUAGUUUAUGGAUAAUUGCUAUGAAAAUAACGUGAAUAACAAUGAUUAUUUUGGAGGGUGAAGAGGGUGUGAGAAUGUGAUGUUAACAUCCAUGUAAAAGAAUAAACUUUUGGAAUAGCUGAGAAGAUACACUACAAUGCUUAAAAAAGUAUAAUAGCUUAUUACUAAUGCAAGAAUAUAGUUUAAUGGGAAAAAAUAGUUCCCAAUGACCUCCAAUGUAAGUACAAACACUAAUUUAUACAGGUGGCAUUAUAUUAUAUUAGGAAAGGAAAAGAUAAGCCAAUAAACAGUGCUAGAGCAAUUGGUUAUUUACCAAAUUUUACAUAGUUACUUAUCACCAGUCACCAAAAUACAGAUUAAAGACAAAUGUUUAAUAAGUAACCUUAAAAAGAAAAUAUAAGGAACUAGUUGUGCAAUAUUGGAGUGAGGAACACCUCUUAAUGCGACAACAAAGGAAAUCUUAAAGGAAAUUAGCAGAUUGCAUGUGGUGAUGAAUGAUUAUUUGCCUUUUAAAAUGUUGUGUAUCUUCUAAAUUAUGUAUACUGAGAAACUUUUAACUUUAGAAUCAGAAAAAUAAUACUAGAAAAAACAUUCAAAACGAUUACCUCAAAAGAAAACUGAGGGAUUGUUUUACAAAAGAGGCAUAUCUGGUACUUCUAAAAUCAUGCCCUGAGGAGAGUCACAUUCUCUGUAUAUUUGGUUAACUCAGCAUUACUCUUAAGAAAUAUAGGUAACAACUGCUAUUGGAUUGUUUCUUAUUCUUUAAUUUUCAGGAAACAGAUUGUCCAAAAUAAUUUUAGCCUUUUAGUCUCUCGCUCUAAAAAUACAGUCAAAUAUUGAUCCUACCACAGAGAUCUGAUAGGAGAUGAACUUGGGAUCUUCCCCCUGGACAAUAGAGACCAUUUGGUCCAACAGAGUACCAAUUACAACACAUAUUUUAUCAUUGUUUUCCCAAGUCUCCCUUGGGAAUUCUGUCUGAUAAAAAGUAAAAAUUGCAACACUGUUUGAUUCUUUGGUGCAGACGUUUUCCUUCUCUUUGUCCUGCAAAGUCACACAAAGUACAUUUUCUCUCUCUAUCUCCAUACUCCUGACACUUUCACUUUCAUUAAAUUCCAGAAUAGCAACUUUCUUACCCAGACAAAAUGGGCUCCCUGGGAAUUACCAGCCUCAUCGUUAUUUAAAUAAAAUUACAUAUGUAUGUCAAUUCAAUUGUCUUCAAGUAUCAGUGUUAUUUCUCAGUCAGCAAGUAACCAGGCUGUAGACUUUUUGCAUUUUCAUCUACUUUAAAGUGCAACUGCUCAGCUAAUGAGAUCACUAUAGCCCAGCAGAAAGCUCAAGUUUGAAGUGAAGUUUUUUUUAAAGUUUAUUUAUUAAUAUUAUUUGAGAGAAAGACAAAGAGAGAGGUGGAGAGACCCAAGCAGGCUCAGCGCUGCCAGCACAGAGCCCCAUGCAGGGCUCAAACUCACAAACCCUGAGUUCAUGACCUUAGCUGAAAUCAAGAGUCAGAAGCUCAACAGACUGAGCCACCCAGGUGCCUUUGAAGUUAUUUUUCUUUUCAUUUCAGUCAAGAUUUUUUGCUUGUUUGUAAGUUUUUCCCCUCUGCGCUGAAAUGUUACUACUCAUUGUGUUUGAUCCAGUCCAGUGUUGAAUCUGUAAUUCCACUUCAUGGCAAAAUAAUGUUUGUUUCUAUCUUCAUAAUCUUCCAGAAGUAGCUAUGAAGUAGCUAUCUCCAGUUUCAUGCCACUGAGAGCUAAUUUGAAAACUGUUAGCAAAAUAUCCCAAAUCACUGGAGGACCAGUGGAGCCAUGGGAGAGGGGUCAGAGGCCCUUCUCCAGGACCCAGGUUUUCCUGGUGACUUAGCUCCAGGUAGCCCCACAUUUGUUCCAGGUGGUCUCAAAGGGCGGGAGCUUUCAUUCGGACUGUGAGCAGAGGCCUCAACAAAGGCCCUGGGCACCAAGCCUGGUCCAUUGCUUUCUGAGCAAACCUCCCCAGAGCUCAGACCUGGUUGGGAACCCUGGCGGGAAUGACAUAGUGGUUGACUGCUUCUGGAUGAAGCCUGCAGUGCGGACACUUGCUGGAUCUGAGGCCUCUGCACAGUGCCCAGUCUCUGAGUGACUGCCUGGAUCUUGAACCUGUUAUCAACGGGUGCCUUAUGCAGACUGCUUGGAACCCUGAAACAGGUGUUGAUCCUGCUCCUGCCUAAGGGGCUGUGGAGGAACCACUUUGUUGAUAGAUAGAUAGAUUUAAAAUUAUAUUUAAUGGUAUAUAAUGAUGAAACCUCCUAGGACCCUCUGGCCAACUUAGUAGUCUUUUAAGCUUUAGCAAGCACGUUUAGCCCACAUGGUUGAUUAACCUUUCUUUUUAUAUUUAUAGAUCCUGCAUUCUUUCCUAGAAAGAACAGAGCACCUCUGUACAACCCUCAGGCACUAAGGAACCAGAUCACCUUGCUCCAAGCACUGAGAUAACAUCUGUAGCUGGCACCAUUGAGUCUGCACAUAAUCAAGAAAUGUUAGGUAUUCCUGUACUCCCUUUAUUGAUUAACUACCCUAAAUGCCUUUAAAAACCCUUGGGCCAGUGGUGCCUGGGUGGCUCAGUCAGUUAAGCGUCUGACUCGGUUUCAGCUCAGGUCAAAACCUCAAGGCUCCUGAAUUCCAGCCCUGUAUCGGGCUCUGUGCGGACAGCAUGGAGCCUGCUUGGAUUCUCUCUCUCCCUCUUCUCUCCCAUUCCCCACCUGCUCGCUAUCUCUUUCUCUUAAAAAUAAAUAAAUAAAUAAACAUUUAAAAAGAAAAACCCAUGGGCCAGGCAGAAACCUUGGAGUUGGCGUUUGGACAAGAGUCACCUUCUCCCCAGGUGGCCAACCUCCUGAAUAAAACUCAUAUUUCUUUCCAACCAAAACUUAUCUCUUGAGUAUUGGUCUUUGGAGUGAUGGG
rnacentral:lncRNA from 1 species